rnacentral:lncRNA from 1 species
CGUCCUGGUCAUGGGAAUCCUCUCACAGGCGAACGGUAUGGUUGCUGAUUGCCGUAUUCUGAUUUCAUUGUAAUCUUUAGCUUACACACACAAGUGAUAGUUAACUGAUGCCAAUCCAGUUAACAAGGCGAUUAACUGAUCUGAUUCCAUGCGUGCGUGCAGCCGAGUUCCCCAAGUGCUGCGACAACUGCAGGUUCUUCUCGGGGGCCGUGGUCUGCGAUGACGCCGGCCCCAAGUGCCGGGACGGCUGCGUGAACUGCCGCGUCGUGCAGACGAGCCCUAAGAAGACGUUCCGAUGCGCCGAUGCUCGCGCCGACGACGGCACGCCCUGCAAGCCCUGCAAGAAGCACUGAUCGCACAUGCUCAGGACAUAAGAUGUUGGACCGAAAAUAAAAGCUCGCAUGGGUUGAGCAGAGCAGUGGUGGCUGUACGUGCCCGCGGUCCACGCCCAACAACAAUUGUAGUUGUCAUCGUCGUCGUUAUGCUUUUUUCUCUCUCCAGAAAAAGCUGUUGUCAUUGCUCCGUGAAUAAACACAUACAUAUGUAUCAGUGUAUGCGUCUCUGCUCAAUUAAAUAAAAAUCAGUUUAUUUGUGUCGAUAUAUAUUGUUGUACAGUCCAGUUCAAAUGGUGAAUGGAUCCUUCUCGGCGCGAGUCGGGAUAAUUAGUGGAUCAUUAUUUACGCAAGUCAGGGCCAUGAUGUUUAAGCAUGCAUGCAUGGUACCGAUCUCAUCUUGGCGGGUAUGGAACAUGCUAGGACUCCAUUAUUGAAUGGUUAGCCAGCAAAUCAUCUCGCGAAUAUGCAUGCAGCAUGCAUCACGCACGUUAUAUACCAGGAUACGCAUCUCGUGACGUGAUCUCGUCUAGCUUCUCGGUCGCUAGUUAGCUAACAUGGAGAUGCAAAUAUACUAGUACUACUAAGGUAGAUCUCUCUUUGGUUACGACUUGAGCAAUAUCACCGUUCACGCGCGAAAAAAAAACACUGAGAUACGCGCUCACAGUGUCGGUCAUGUAGCAUGCUUGAAUAAAAAUGUGACACUGUUCAUCCGUCUAUCCCUCUUUCCCAAAGAUUGAAGAUGCUACAGCGAUUCGGUGACGCAGAUCCAUCCCUCGCUGUCCCGUCGGCACGAGCACGUGAAGAGGAGGGCCAUUCAUGCCUAGGCUAGGAGUACCUGCCAUGGCAGCGCCAGCUCACCCGGGGAAAUAUCUGGUACUCCUACCCCUAGGAUGUUCCUCGUGCUUCAAAACUCGGUAGCACAUUUUUAAAUCUUUACUCAUAUAAAAAUCUGAGUUGGUAAUGAUUGUGUGCCUGCCAUCUUAUAUUUGGGAUCGUCGGAUCUGCAUCUGACGCACAACACAAAGCAAUCUGUGCAAUUUUACACAAAGACACCCACUUCACGUCACAUUUGCAGAUAGCCCCUCCAAGUCCCAUCUCUCCCGUUCAGCACUGUCGCCCCCAACUCAUCAAAAUCCAUCUGAAAAAGAAGGCACUGGAAGAACCACCGAUCUAGCUAGAUGUCACUGGAAUCGAUCUCGCUCGAUGGCCGUUGUCGGCGCCGUCCACCCCCAAGCCUCUCACGCCUGCUCUCAUUAGCCCCAGCUCUCACCACCACCGCAAAAUCCCGUCCUCCCCGCCAUCUCCUCCGCCCCCUUUUGCCCGUCUCCUCCGGUGCCGACCUCGGCAAGCACAUACGCCGCCGACGCCGCCCGUCCGCCGACUCGUCCUCCUCUUGUGUCGCAGCACAACCGCCCAGCAUCUCCACCACGAUGCCCUCUUCCGCGUCAUCCCCUACACCCCCUCCCCCAUCUCCUGCGGUUCCAAUGCCCGCAAGUGCGCCGCCUCCGCCGUCCGUGCCCUGACGCCUCUCUUGCUUCCUCCCUUUCUUGUUGCAGUAGCCCCACAACCCACCGGCACCACCUCAUCCUCCUCAUCGACAUCUCUUCCGCCCGCUCCUCGUAUCCUCCGACGUCGACCUCCGGAAGUACGCCGCCGGCUGCGCCGCCACCUACUGCUACUCGUCGAAGGAUUUCGGCUGGUGGCAAACUACUCGUUCCCGGCAGUGCCGGUGCCAACUACCUCAAGCCACUGUGUUUGUUCCCAAAUCCCAACCACGUUCAUCCCUCCAUAAGUUUUGUGUUUCUCUGUCAGACCCAAAGAAGUUUGUCAUUGUUUUGGAGCAGAGAUGUGUGAUUGAAACCAUUGCCUCUCCUAAAUAUGUUUAAAAACUAAUUGGUUGUGGAUCUGCGAAGUACCUCGAGAACUGCAGGUUUAUCCUUGGGGAAAUUACUGAGAACCAUCCCCUUGGGUUGUUACUAGAUUUUGUAUUCAAUAUUCAGAUUUUUUUCCCAUUGUGAUCUGUGUCAGAUUUAUUGCUCAAGGAAAAUGGAGCAGUGUUAUCAAGCAUUGCUAAAUGUCUUCUUAAGUGGAGAAGAUCUCAAGAGCUACUUACAAGGAAGAAAGAUAAGCUUUUCCACUUUGUUGUAUCAAGUAAUUUUACUUCCCUGUAUAUUAAUUAUUGUGUAUUGAACGGAAUCUGAGUAAUCCUUUUUUACCAAACAGCAUAUAUACACUUGUGUAGUUGUAUGAGAUUAAUGGAGCAAGAACAGCAUGCAGUAUUGUCUUCGUUGCAUCCACUAGGAGAAGAUUUCAAUUUGGAAAUGCUAAUUGAAAAAAGGUAUGCAGCAUUAGAAUAUCCUUCUAAUAUGUGGUAUGAGAGAGAUGCCCGAUAAUGACUGUUGUGUUGCUUGUACAUAGAUUUUUCACGACUUCAACAUGUGCCUUCUUUCUCAUCGUGUGUUACCCUAAACCCCUAUGAGUUCAUAUGUUAGUUUUAAUUCUCCGCAAGUACAUUUUGAUAUUCUGUAACGUCGGUAUUAUCAGAAUCCCAUGGGAAACUGUGUAUUUUUUUCCUAAGACAAUAUAUGACUUCAGACUCAUAUACCUACGUGAACCUGCAUAAUUUUUAGAAUAUGCUUUUUGAACAAGGUAUAUGUCAUGUUAUUUUUAAUUAGUUUUGAAAAACUUUAGUAUUGUUUGGUCGGGGCCACAUCAGAUGCUCCUUUUGAGAAGCUGAAUGAUAAUUUUGAGGUGUCUCAUGAAAUCUAAUCAUAACUUGCCUUCUCAAAAGAAAAGGAAUACAUCAAUUAUUUGAUUCUUAGCUUUUGGUUAGAACCGUCAUGCAAAGUUUACCUCACAAACUGGAUUUUCCCCCUAGACUAGCUUAUUCUUUGUUUUUCUUAAGAUUAAGUGAUAUAAAUGUUAGCAAAUAAACCAGUGUGGCUUGAUUAGUAGUUUGGCAGCGUUUUUUCUAACUGCAGCUUUCGUCAGUAGUUUCAGUUAGCAGUUUUCUUCAGUAGUUUCAGAAGUUUCAGUUAAACUGUUAGCGACGCCUGAGGACGUGGGCUGUACGAUCCCGAGGUGCGUUUGUAGGCCUGUAAGGACUUGUUCUCAGUCGUGGGAUGGCACGAUCCGGUAAGAGGGCAAGACCUGCGGCAUGUUUGUUUUCUGUUAGAGAUAAUAAAAGUGACACAGAAAAGCAGCAUUCAGGGCGCUGCACAAACAUUUAGUGUUCUUCCUCUGUUCUUCUUCCACCUUGGGUGAUAGAGAGAGAGAGCAGAGAGAUUUUGAGCGAAAUGUGAGUGCUGACAAUAAAGUAAAAUAUUCAAUAUGGAACCAAAACAGCUCUAUGAUGAACGGUGUGAAACAAAAAAAAGAAUAGAAAAGUCUGAACUUUUUGCAACAAACAUAUUUGCAUCUUCUAACAAAAUACAUUCUUUCCUGAAGAAAUGCCAUAUUUAGUGAUUUGUGCUAGAAAAAGUGGUGCCCAUGGAAGUGUUUUAAGAAUUACGAGCACCAAUUUUUUUUCUCACAGAUCACAACAUGUUUUGUUUCUUCAUUAAUAUUUACACAGUUAUAAUGCUUGAUAUGCUUGAGUGUUUGGCAGGAGCACAUGAGAAGGAAAGAGGGAUACUCAUAUCACCAUAUUGAAUAAUUGUCUUCUCAGGGACAUGUGAUUUCUUUUAAUACGGUAUUAUGUAGUAUGCAUGGCUACACUAACCCNNNNNNNNNNNNNNNNNNNNNNNNNNNNNNNNNNNNNNNNNNNNNNNNNNNNNNNNNNNNNNNNNNNNNNNNNNNNNNNNNNNNNNNNNNNNNNNNNNNNNNNNNNNNNNNNNNNNNNNNNNNNNNNNNNNNNNNNNNNNNNNNNNNNNNNNNNNNNNNNNNNNNNNNNNNNNNNNNNNNNNNNNNNNNNNNNNNNNNNNNNNNNNNNNNNNNNNNNNNNNNNNNNNNNNNNNNNNNNNNNNNNNNNNNNNNNNNNCACCAGCAAAUUAAACUGUUUGAAUAUUUUAUCAUACGAUAUUUGUGCAGAUGUUGUUCCAUAGCAAUGUAUAACUACUACACUAGAAUCUGUGUUGGAGCUCAGUUCUUGCAUGUCAUGUGUCAGAUAUUUACAUUGUAUGAAUAAACUUCGGAUGACUUGCAUUUAUGAUGUUUUCUAUAUUGCGGAAUCUAUUAUUCAUGUACAUGCAACACUUUUGAAUUUUAAUAUACUCUCAUAUGUAUGCAAAUUAUGUAUAAUGUGUUUCUAUUUGUGUUUCCUCUCUUAAUGCUGAGUUCCCUUGGAUUCGGAGAAAAAGCUGGCAGUAUCGUCCCGAUUGCCAAAUGUGUGGUCGGAUUUUCUAUUUGCAGUCAGUAAUGAGAAAAUUGAGUAAGGACUAAGGACAACAAAAAGUCUUCCUGCAAGGUCAAGAUGGUGAAGAGAAGGUUUGGCUUGGACGAACAGUAUAUGUAAUCUCUAAGGAGACAAGUUAUUAUCUUGAAUCAAAUGGCAAGAGAUGUGGAAUUCCAUUGACUUUUGCUCGAAAUAGUGUAUAGAAAUGGGUUCUUUGCAAGAAAGAAUGGCUUCUACUAAAAAGGCGUCCGAAACCAUAUGUUUGGUUGUGCUCGAUGCGUACCUAUCAACAGUAUAACAUCGUUGGAUCAAUGUCUAGGAACUUUUUUUUUGCGGGACAUAGCAAUGAAUUGGAUCUUGGAAAUAAUUUAAAUAAACAACAAUGUUUCACAUGUUCUUUUGUGACCCCGUAGCGCAGCACGGGCAUUUUACUAGUCUUCGAAAAAUUCUGAAAAAAUCCGGCACAUUGACGCAACAUUAAAGUAUGUUGUCAAAAAAAUUGAAACAUAGCUUGAGAAACAUCUUAUCAUACGAUAUUUGUGCAGAUGUUGUUCCAUAGCAAUGUAUAACUACUACACUAGAAUCUGUGUUGGAGCUCAGUUCUUGCAUGUCAUGUGUCAGAUAUUUACAUUGUAUGAAUAAACUUCGGAUGACUUGCAUUUACGAUGUUUUCUAUAUUGCGGAAUCAAUUAUUCAUGUACAUGCAACACUUUUGAAUUUUAAUAUACUCUCAUAUGUAUGCAAAUUAUGUAUAAUGUGUUUCUAUUUGUGUUUCCUCUCUUAAUGCUGAGUUCUCUUGGAUUCGGAGAAAAAGCUGGCAGUAUCGUCCCGAUUGCCAAAUGUGUGGUCAGAUUUUCUAUUUGCAGUCAGUAAUGAGAAAACUGAGUAAGGACUAAGGACAACAAAAAGUCUUCCUGCAAGGUCAAGAUGGUGAAGAGAAGGUUUGGCUUGGAUGAACAGUAUAUGUAAUCUCUAAGGAGACAAGUUAUUAUCUUGAAUCAAAUGGCAAGAGAUGUGGAAUUCCAUCGACUUUUGCUCGAAAUAGUGUAUAGAAAUGGGUUCUUUGCAAGAAAGAAUGGCUUCUACUAAAAUGGCGUCCGAAACCAUAUGUUUGGUUGUGCUCGAUGCCUACCUAUCAACAGUAUAACAUCGUUUGACCAAUGUCUAGGAACUUUUUUUUGCGGGACAUAGCAAUGAAUUGGAUCUUGGAAAUAAUUUAAAUAAACAACAAUUUUUCACAUGAUCUUUUGUGACCCUGUAGCGCAGCACGGGCAUCUUACUAGUCUUCGAAAAAUUCUAAAAAAAUCCAGCACAUUGACGCAACAUUAAAGUAUGUUGUCAAAAAAUUGAAAUAAAAAAAAUUGAAACAUAGCUUGAGAAACAUUUUAUCAUACGAUAUUUGUGCAGAUGUUGUUCCAUAGCAAUGUUUAACUACUACACUAGAAUCUGUGUUGGAGCUCAGUUCUUGCAUGUCAUGUGUCAGAUAUUUACAUUGUAUGAAUAAACUUCAGAUGACUUGCAUUUACGAUGUUUUCUAUAUUGCGGAAUCAAUUAUUCAUGUACAUGCAACACUUUUGAAUUUUAAUAUACUCUCAUAUGUAUGCAAAUUAUGUAUAAUGUGUUUCUAUUUGUGUUUCCUCUCUUAAUGCUGAGUUCUCUUGGAUUCGGAGAAAAAGCUGGCAGUAUCGUCCCGAUUGCCAAAUGUGUGGUCAGAUUUUCUAUUUGCAGUCAGUAAUGAGAAAAUUGAGUAAGGACUAAGGACAACAAAAAGUCUUCCUGCAAGGUCAAGAUGGUGGAGAGAAGGUUUGGCUUGGACGAACAGUAUAUGUAAUCUCUAAGGAGACAAGUUAUUAUCUUGAAUCAAAUGGCAAGAGAUGUGGAAUUCCAUCGAUUUUUGCUCGAAAUAGUGUAUAGAAAUGGGUUCUUUGCAAGAAAGAAUGGCUUCUGCUAAAAAGGCGUCCGAAACCAUAUGUUUGGUUGUGCUCGAUGCCUACCUAUCAACAGUAUAACAUCGUUUGAUCAAUGUCUUGGAACUUUUUUUUUGCGGGACAUAGCAAUGAAUUGGAUCUUGGAAAUAAUUUAAAUAAACAACAAUGUUUCACAUGAUCUUUUGUGACCCCGUAGCGCAGCACGGGCAUCUUACUAGUCUUCGAAAAAUUCUGAAAAAAUCCAGCACAUUGACGCAACAUUAAAGUAUGUUGUAAAAAAAUUGAAAUAAAAAAAAUUGAAACAUAGCUUGAGAAACAUAAAUGACAAAUUCCACAUUAAAUAGUACACAACAUAAGUUGGGCUUUAGAUUAGGCCCAUUAUCACAUUGAUGUCCAUUUUGUCAUUUUUGUAUCUCGAGCAAUCUUUCGAUUUUUUAUUUUAAUUUUUUUAACAACAUACAUUGAUGUUAUGUCAAUGUGCUGGAUUUUUUUUCAGAAUUUUUUGAACAUUUUAAAAUGUUUGGAGCAGCGGAAACACCCUAGAGAUGGGAGUACCAGAUAUUUCUCGCACUUGGCCCAUUUAUCUCCAAGCACGAACCCUCAACUACGAAAAACUGUAACAAAUCGAUGACAUGGCAAAAAUUGACAUGUUUGCGUGUACCCACCUACAUGUUGUGUUGUUUUGCAGCUGCGGCCGCCAAGCAAAGCAUUCCACAGGAGUAGAUGUGAAAAUGGGAGUGCUUUGCUUAAAAAGUUUAGUGCCAAAUGAUAAAGAUUAGCACGCUGCUGAUGAUCCUAGUUCUCCUGGCUGUCCUGGCUAGGGGAACAUCGAGUAAGUGCGACGCCGGCUGCAAGGUGUUUGUCAAGGUUUGAAGGUACCCUUUGAAGAAGUUUCCGUGCAAUGACAUUGACAUGCACACCGACACCGGCAUUGGCUCCGCAGCCCACGUGCAAAGUACGAGUUAAUCAAGCCGUAGUCCUGCCACUGUUGGCCGUGCUAUACCUGUACCACUAAAUGAAUACACCAUCUGUUUCAUACUGUAGUGGAUAUAAUUUUUUUGGAAAAUCAGGCAUCACAAAGUUUUAUCAAAUUUAUAAAGAAAAUAUUUGCAUGUAGACUGUCAAACUAUAUCAUUAGAUUCACAAUAAGAUAAACAUUCCAAUUCUAUAUAAGGGCAUCUCCAACGCUGACCAACAAAAUUGCUCCGGAACCCGUCCGCGGAAAAGUGGCCGGUCCGCAAAGAUGGAUGCGAGAGGCGGACAUCCAACGCUACCCGUUCAAAUAUGGUUCAACUAAACCAGACAAAAUUCAUGCAAACACUGCGGAUUCCGACGAGAUUCAUUACUUUUCAGACAUAUUUCAUAUAAACCGGACGAAAUUCAUUAUAUUUUGAAUAAUUUUUAACUAAACUCUAUUCUAAACCUAAUCUAAAUUAUCGCGGGUGCUCAUUCUCAUGUCCGGCUAUGAGCCCCGAGAACUGAAGCUCCGGCUCUUGCCUUGACUUCUCCAGUUCCGUCUCGGUGCUCUCCAACUCUGCCUCUGCAGCCUCCGCCGCCGCAACUUGAGCGGCUAAUCAACCGACGAUUUUCAACCACCAAGCUUGGCUUCAGGCGGAGGGGAAGAAAGGUCGCCUUCUCGGGACCUGAGCCGCGGCGACCUACCAUGCGUUACUCUUCCUCGUUGCCGGCGGCACCCGCGGACAUGCCCCUCGUCGUCGCUCUUGCCCCUCACCUCAUCCGCCGCCUCGUCCAUCUCCUUGUAGGGGGCUUGCAGUUCCGCCUGAUACUGGCGGUACCGCCAGCGGGCGUGGCGGAUCUCACGGGCGGAGCGACUGGACUCGAGCAGCGCCACCCGCUCCAUCAGAUCCGCGUCCGGCACGAUGGCCAUGUCGGCGGCGAGCUGCUCCUCUCCAUGCCAGUGCUCCUAGAGGAGCUAGAUGUUAUACGCCUGGUCGGCCUGCGCUUCCCAUAAUUGCUCCUCCCGCUCCUCCCGCACCAUGUCCAUAUAGUGGGCAUGGGCCUCGCCGAUAGUCAUGCCGGCAUGCACCGGCGAGGAGGGUGGCUUCGGCUAGUCCUCGGCCGCGUCCUCCAUUAGGAUGUCGUCAGCUUCCGUUUACAUGCCGGCUUGCCAGCUGGCCGCAAUGGUAGCCAUCUCUUUCUUCUGCUCUGACGAGAGUCCGUCCUAGGCGAGAAGGUGCCUGCACCGGAGAGUGGCGCGGGCGGCGCUCUCUCAGCCGGCGUGUUGUUUCAAUGCCGGCAACAAUAAGAUGCCGUAUCUGCUCUGGCCGGGCAUGAAUGUAGCACUGAUGCUCUGAAGCGACAUUGACCGUUUUGGGCAGGAAGCGAGCGUGGGCGAGGGAGCGGGUUUGGCGCCGGCUGCAAGGUGUUUGUCAAGGUUCGAGGGUACCCUUUGAAGAAGUUUCGGUGCAAUGCCAUUGACAUGCACACCGACACUGGCAAUGGCUCUGCAGCCCACAUGCAAAGUACGAUUUAAUCAAGCCGUAGUCCUGCCACUGUUGGCCGUGCUAUACCUGUACCACUAAAUGAAUACACCAUCUGUUCAUACUGUAGUGGAUAUUUUAUUUUAUUUUUGAAAAAUCAAGCAUCACAAUUUUUCAUCAAAUUUAUGGAGAAUUUGUUUCCAUGUAGAGUGUCAAACUUAUAUCAUUAGAUUCACGAUAAGAUAAACUUUCAUACUUUAUAUUAGGGCAUCUCCAACACGGAUCCGCAAAUUUGCUCCGGCACCCGUCUACAGACAGGGGGACCGGUCCGCGGAGACUGAUGCGAGAGACAGACAUCCAACGCUGCCCGUUCAAACACGGUUCAACUAAAUCGGACAAAAUUCAUGCAAACACUGCGGAUCCGGACGAGAUUCAUUAUAUUUUGGACAUAUUUUCAUAUAAACCAUAUGAAAUUCAUUACAUUUUGAAUAAUUUUUUACUAAACCUUAUUCUAAACCUAAUCUAAAUGAUCAUGGGUGCCCGUUCCCAUGUCCGGCCAUGAGCCCCGAGAACUGAAGCUCUGGCUCUUGCCUUUGCCUUCUCCAGUUCCGCCUCGGGGCUCUCCAGCUCCGCCACCGCAGCCUCCGCCACCGUAGCUUGAGCGGCUAAUCGGCUGACGAUUUUCAGCCCGCUAAGCUUGGCUUCAUGCGGAGGUGAAGAGCGGUGGCCUUCUUGGGACCUGAGCGGCGGUGACCUACCAUGCAUUAUUCUUCCUCGCUGCUGGCGGCGCUCGCGGGCGUGUCAGCUUCGUGGUCGUUGCGGCGGGGCGCGGCCAUGGCGAAGCCGACAAUGUCCUCCUCGUCGUUGCUCUUGCCCCUCACCUCAUCCGCCGCCUCGUCCAUCUCCUUGUAGGCGGCUUGCAGUUCCGCCUGAUACUGGCGGUACCACCAGCGGUCGUGGCAGAUCUUGCAGCCGAAGCGGUAGGAAUCGAGCAGGGCCACCUGCUCCGUCACAUUCAUGUCCGGCGCGAUGGCCAUGACGGCGGUGAGCUGCUCCUCCGCCUGCCGGUGCUCCUCGAGGAGCUGGAGGAUGUACGUUUGGUCGGCCUGCGCUUCCCGUAAUUGCUCCUCUCGGUCCUCCCGCACUACUAGAAAAAGAGGCUUCCAUACGCCCCCAUUAGUCCCCAAAAUAAUCGAACCGCGACAAAAGGGGUCUUUAGUCGCGGUUCGGGAGGAGACCCGCGACCAACUAUCUGGGCCCAGCGCGCUCGGUCGACAGCUGGCGGACGGGAGGGGCUUUAGUCCCGGUUGGCCUGGCCAACCGGGACUAAAGGUCCCCGAAGGCCUUUAGUCGCGGUUGGCCAGGCCAACCGGGACUAAAGGCUCAUCCCUAUAUAUAGGACUCAGCUCACUUCACUUCACUCAGCUCACUUCACAAUAUUCAGAAGGGGGUGGUGGGUUUGCUUUUGGUUCCUCCUAUGCACACAAGGUGUUCGAUGAAAUGCCCGAGAGCCUGAAACAAACAUGAUAUGAAGUGUCCGAGCCACACUUGAGCUUUCUCAUUUAUUUUUCCUCCGCGAUCGCGGUUAGCAACUUGAACCUUUCAUGUGUCAUUGAUAAAAUAUGCAUGUGUGUAGUUCAUUGUUUAAUUUGUAUUAUUUCUAGCUAGUUAGUUUAACAAAUGCAUGAUGGUUAAUUAUAUACUUUAUAUAAUAAUAAUGCAGAUGAAUCGGCAAUGGAUGUACGGUCCCCGACUCUCCGGCGAGUUCACUACGGGUUUGAAAUAUUUCCUCGUAGUGGCAAAUGCGAACAAGCAGCAAGGUUUUAUUAUCUGUCCAUGUGCUGUCUGUAAGAAUCAGAAGGGUUACUCCUCCUCAAGAGACGUUCACAUGCACCUGCUUCGGCACGGUUUCAUGCGAAGCUAUAAUUGUUGGACCAAGCAUGGAGAAAGAGGGGUUAGAAUGGAAGAAGAUGAAGAAGGGGAUGAUAUCGAUGACAACUAUCAUGAUCAUUUCGGUGAUACUUUCAUGGAGGAUGAUGCUGAAGGUGGGGAAGGGUUAGGUGAAGGUGAAGAAGAGGCACAUGAUGAGCCCGCUGAUGAUCUUGGUCGGACCAUUGCUGAUGCACGGAGACGCUGCGAAACUGACAAGGAUAGGGAGAAUUUGGAUCGCAUGUUAGAGGAUCACAAAAAGUCGUUGUAUCUAGGAUGCGAUAAUAGUCUGAAAAAGCUGGGCUGCACACUGGAUUUGCUAAAAUGGAAGGCACAGGAAGGUGUAGGUGACUCAUCAUUUGAAAAUUUGCUGAAAAUGUUGAAGAAUAUGUUUCCGAAGAAUAACGAGUUGCCCGCCAGUACGUACGAAGCAAAGAAGGUUGUCUGCCCUCUAGGUUUAGAGGUUCUGAAGAUACAUGCAUGCAUUAACGACUGCAUCCUCUACCGCGGUGAAUACGAGAAUUUGAAUGAAUGCCCUGUAUGCACUGCAUUGCGUUAUAAUAUCAGAGGCGAUGACCCUGGUGACGAUGUUGAGGGCGAGAAACCCAGGAAGAGGGUUCCCGCCAAGGUGAUGUGGUAUGCUCCUAUAAUACCACGGUUGAAACGUCUGUUCAUGAACAAAAAGCAUGCCAAGUCGUUGCGAUGGCACAAAGAGGACCGUAAGUCCGACGGGGAGUUGAGACACACCGCUGAUGGAACGCAAUGGAGAAAGAUCGACAGAGUGUUCAAAGAUUUUGCAGCUGACGCAAGCAACAUAAGAUUUGGUCUAAGUACUGAUGGCAUGAAUCCUUUUGGCGAGCAGAGCUCCAGCCAUAGCACCUGGCCCGUGACUCUAUGCAUCUACAACCUUCCUCCUUGGUUGUGCAUGAAGCGGAAGUUCAUUAUGAUGCCAGUGCUCAUCCAAGGUCCAAAGCAACCCGGGAACGACAUCGAUGUGUACCUAAGGCCAUUAGUUGAUGAACUUUUACAGUUGUGGGCCAGACCUGGUGUACGUGUCUGGGAUGAGCACAAAGGAGAGGAAUUUGACCUACGAGCGUUGCUUUUUGUAACCAUCAACGAUUGGCCUGAUCUCAGUAACCUUUCGGGACAGACAAAUAAGGGAUACAAUGCAUGCACGCACUGCUUACAUGAGACUGAAAGUGUACGUUUGGUUAAUUGUAAGAAGAACGUGUACCUGGGUCAUCGUCGAUUUCUUCCCCGAAAUCAUAACGUAAGAAAGAAAGGCAAGCAUUUCAACGGCAAGGCAGAUCACCGGCCGAAACCUGCGGAACGUACUGGUGCUGAGAUAUUUGAUAUGGUCAAGGAUUUGAAAGUCAUCUUUGGAAAGGGUCCUGGCGGACAAUCAGUUCCACGGGGAGUUGACGGGCACGCACCCAUGUGGAAGAAGAAAUCUAUAUUUUGGGAGCUAGAAUAUUGGAAAGUCCUAGAUGUCCGCUCUGCAAUCGACGUGAUGCAUGUUACGAAGAAUAUUUGCGUGAACCUGCUAAGCUUCUUGGGCGUGUAUGGGAAGACAAAUGAUACAAAGGAAGCACGGCAGGACCAGCAACUUUUGAAAGACCCAGAUGACCGGCAUCCGGAAUGGUUUCAAGGUCGUGCCAGCUACGCUCUUACCAAAGAAGAGAAGGUCAUUUUUUUGAAUGCCUGAGCAGUAUGAAGGUCCCGUCUGGCUUCUCGUCGAAUAUAAAGGGAAUAAUAAACAUGGCGGAGAAAAAGUUCCAAAACCUGAAGUCUCACGACUACCACGUGAUUAUGACGCAAUUGCUUCCGAUUGCUUUGAGGGGGCUCCUACCGAAAAAUGUUCGAGUAGCCAUUGUGAAGCUAUGUGCAUUCCUCAAUGCAAUCUCUCAGAAGGUAAUCAAUCCAGAAGAUCUACCACGGUUACAGAACGAUGUGGUCCAAUGCCUUGUCAGUUUUGAGUUGGUGUUCCCACCAUCCUUCUUCGAUAUUAUGACGCACCUCCUGCUCCACCUAGUCGAAGAGAUUUCCAUUCUCGGUCCUGUAUUUCUACACAAUAUGUUCCACUUUGAGAGGUUCAUGGGAGUAUUAAAGAAAUAUGUUCGUAACCGUGCUAGGCCGGAAGGAAGCAUCGUCAAGGGCCAUGGAAAUGAGGAGGUAAUUGAGUUCUGUAUUGACUAUGUUCCUGACCUUAAGCCGAUUGGUAUUCCUCAAUCGCGGCACGAGGGGAGACUAAGUGGAAAAGGCACGAUCGGAAGGAAAUCAACGAUAUGUAUGGACGGUCAUUCUAUGACUGAAGCACACCACACAGUUCUGCAAAAUUCCAGCUUGGUGGCUCCGUUCUUCGAGCAACACAAGAAUAUUUUACGCUCGGACAACCCGGGGAAGCCUGAAUCCUGGAUUAGAAAGGCCCACAUGGAGACUUUCGGCAGUUGGUUGCGAAAACAUUUAAUGAAUGACAAUGAUGUUGGAGAUCAACUGUACAUGUUGGCCAAGAAACCAUCUUCGACUAUAACGAUUUUCCAAGGGUAUGAGAUAAAUGGGAAUACAUUUUACACCAUCGCCCAAGAUAAAAAGAGCACCAACCAAAACAGUGGUGUCCGCUUUGAUGCAGCAACCGAGAAUGGGCAAAAGGUCACAUAUUAUGGUUACAUAGAGGAGAUAUGGGAACUUGACUAUGGACCCUCCUUUAAGGUCCCUUUGUUCCGGUGCAAAUGGUUCAAGCUAACAGGAGGUGGGGUAAAGGUGGACGAGCAAUACGGAAUGACAAUGGUGGAUUUCAACAAUCUUGGUUACUUUGACAAACCAUUUGUCCUUGCCAAAGAUGUCGCUCAGGUUUUUUAUUUGAAGGACAUGAGUAGCAAACCGAGGAAACGGAAAGAUAAGAAAACGAUCAGUACAUCAUGCGAUGAUCCAAAGCGCCACAUUGUUCUUUCAGGGAAAAGAAACAUCGUGGGAGUGGAGGACAAGAAGACAUGUCAGAAGAUUAUAAUAUGUUUGGUGAAAUUCCGCCCUUCAAAGUGAACACUGACCCAAGCAUUAAGUUAAAUGAUGAGGAUGCUCCAUGGAUACGGCACAAUCGUAAGCAAGCAGGGACACAAGGGAAGAAUUGAUGUGUAAUAAUUUAUUGUACCAAACUUUGUUGAAUGGAUCAUGUGAAUUAAAACGUACGAUGGCGAAUCCGGAUGAUUUGUAUCUGGUCGAUGAACUGAAUGAUGUAUCAAACCUUUUGUCAAACCUUCAAGGGAUCGAUGAACUGAAUUUUUUGAUAUAUUAUUUGUAUUUUUAAGAUUUUAAAAUGAAUUAGUUUUAUUUUUCUGAUUNNNNNNNNNNNNNNNNNNNNNNNNNNNNNNNNNNNNNNNNNNNNNNNNNNNNNNNNNNNNNNNNNNNNNNNNNNNNNNNNNNNNNNNNNNNNNNNNNNNNNNNNNNNNNNNNNNNNNNNNNNNNNNNNNNNNNNNNNNNNNNNNNNNNNNNNNNNNNNNNNNNNNNNNNNNNNNNNNNNNNNNNNNNNNNNNNNNNNNNNNNNNNNNNNNNNNNNNNNNNNNNNNNNNNNNNNNNNNNNNNNNNNNNNNNNNNNNNNNNNNNNNNNNNNNNNNNNNNNNNNNNNNNNNNNNNNNNNNNNNNNNNNNNNNNNNNNNNNNNNNNNNNNNNNNNNNNNNNNNNNNNNNNNNNNNNNNNNNNNNNNNNNNNNNNNNNNNNNNNNNNNNNNNNNNNNNNNNNNNNNNNNNNNNNNNNNNNNNNNNNNNNNNNNNNNNNNNNNNNNNNNNNNNNNNNNNNNNNNNNNNNNNNNNNNNNNNNNNNNNNNNNNNNNNNNNNNNNNNNNNNNNNNNNNNNNNNNNNNNNNNNNNNNNNNNNNNNNNNNNNNNNNNNNNNNNNNNNNNNNNNNNNNNNNNNNNNNNNNNNNNNNNNNNNNNNNNNNNNNNNNNNNNNNNNNNNNNNNNNNNNNNNNNNNNNNNNNNNNNNNNNNNNNNNNNNNNNNNNNNNNNNNNNNNNNNNNNNNNNNNNNNNNNNNNNNNNNNNNNNNNNNNNNNNNNNNNNNNNNNNNNNNNNNNNNNNNNNNNNNNNNNNNNNNNNNNNNNNNNNNNNNNNNNNNNNNNNNNNNNNNNNNNNNNNNNNNNNNNNNNNNNNNNNNNNNNNNNNNNNNNNNNNNNNNNNNNNNNNNNNNNNNNNNNNNNNNNNNNNNNNNNNNNNNNNNNNNNNNNNNNNNNNNNNNNNNNNNNNNNNNNNNNNNNNNNNNNNNNNNNNNNNNNNNNNNNNNNNNNNNNNNNNNNNNNNNNNNNNNNNNNNNNNNNNNNNNNNNNNNNNNNNNNNNNNNNNNNNNNNNNNNNNNNNNNNNNNNNNNNNNNNNNNNNNNNNNNNNNNNNNNNNNNNNNNNNNNNNNNNNNNNNNNNNNNNNNNNNNNNNNNNNNNNNNNNNNNNNNNNNNNNNNNNNNNNNNNNNNNNNNNNNNNNNNNNNNNNNNNNNNNNNNNNNNNNNNNNNNNNNNNNNNNNNNNNNNNNNNNNNNNNNNNNNNNNNNNNNNNNNNNNNNNNNNNNNNNNNNNNNNNNNNNNNNNNNNNNNNNNNNNNNNNNNNNNNNNNNNNNNNNNNNNNNNNNNNNNNNNNNNNNNNNNNNNNNNNNNNNNNNNNNNNNNNNNNAAAAAGAAAAGAAAAAAGAAAAGGAAAAACAAAAUACUUGGCAGUGCUAAACAAAAACUUCUAUGCAAAUUAGUGCUCAAUAAUCUUAUUUUUUAAUUCCUCCUCCUCUAUGUCCCCUUAAUCUUAUUUUUUAAUUCCUUUAUACUUAAAGAAUUUUUACUACAUGCAGGAGUGACAUAUGGCGGACGAUAGAGCCGAGCCGCUUAGGGAUCCGGAGGCUGAACGUUAUUUAAUGGGCAUCAUCAACAACGAGAUUCCUUAUGUGCCGGGCUCAGAAUAUGAGCAAGAAGAGGAUGUAGUCUCUUCUUUUCUGAACCUUGACGGUGGAGAUGAUCAAGAAGGUGAAGGAACGGACAUUGUCGACGGAGGUCAACCGUCAACAAACGACGAUCUCGAAUUGCAAGUAGCAACCACCUCCGGCGAGGUAUAUAUAUACAUUGUGCCUCUCGUGAUACAAACUUACUGAAAUGUGAAUACAUAUGUAUUAACGUGCGCGACUCUCUUCAUUUUUUUAGCCCUCGGCCGGAUCGAGUACGACAAAGCGUGGCAAAUCCAAGGCGAUGAAAACAGGAGAAACAUAUGCCAUUGAGUUUGUCAGUGAAACCGGCAAGCCCCUACAGCACACCUCAAAGUUUAUCAACCAAUGCGGAGUCGUUGUUAGAGACAACGUCCCGAUCACCGUCCAGGAAUGGAAGGAGCCAAAGAAGGCACGUCUUGGUUUCAGUUUUGUCCACAAGAGAACGAAAAAGGAUUGUUGGAGAAAGCUUAUGGAACAUUUCAUUCUACCUCCGGAAUACAACAAAGUCGAUGAAUUCGGUAACGAGGUUCCGGGUGGACGUGAGAGGAGGAGGCUAGUUAAAGAGUUCGCUCUUCAGAAGAUGGGCGAAGCAUUCCGGAACUUCAAGAAAAAUUUAACCCGUGACUAUGUCAACAAGGGCAAGACUCCGGAUUUCAAUGGACAACAUGAGAAACUGAAAGAUGAUUGGCCAGAAUUUGUGAGGCAAAAGCAAUCGGAGCAUUUCAAGGAAAUAUCGAAAAAAAUUAAGGAUAAUGCGAGUAAGAAAAAGUUCCAUCAUAUUAUGGGGCCAGGAGGAUACCGCCUUUCGGAGCCUAAGUGGCAGAAGAUGGAGGAGGACCUGAGGGUGCGAGGAAUCCCUCUAGGUACAGAGGGAUGGGACCCAAGGGCCAAAAGCUGGUGGUACGGGCAUGGGGGAUCGCUAGACCCGGAGCAGGGGUGUGUGUUCACCGGAAGAAAAAGUUUGCUCCCACCCAAGCCCUUAUUGACGCAAUGACCCAAGCUCAAGAGGGCUUGAUCAAGUUCAACAGAGAGAAAGACGCACUGACAACAGCCCUCGGGAAUGAUGAACACGGAGGACGUGUACGAGGCAAAGGCAAAGUUCCGUGGAAAGUAGGGUUUUCCCAGGACAAUGAACCGUACUGUUACAGAAGCCGUAAGAGAAAGACGGACCGGGAUGCAGAUCUUAUGGCGAAGUUUGCAUCGGAACUCCAUGAGUUGAAGCAGACCGUGCAUGAACUAGUAAAAGAAAAAUCAGCUGCAGGGCCGCAUGAAGAUCAUGAAGCGGAUCGCGGAAGCCAGCAGCGGAGAAGCAGCGUGGCUUCCACGGAUGCCCCGCCUGGUGCUAGUGCACCGAUGAUCGAGAUUCGUGCACCGGAGCCUCACUACCCCGUGGAUGAUGUAAAGGAGAUGAAAGAAUGUGAUCUGCAUUAUCCCGUGGGGAACGUUUCCACGAAGGUAGCUAGCGGCAGUGCUUUACCCUGUACACCUGGAGCACUCCACCACAACAACCCCAUUGCAUAUGGCUAUGCUCGUGUCACGGUGGAAGACAUAGUCCAAGGGUUUGAGGACCUGGAGAUUGACAAAGCUACACCCGAAGGGGAGAGAAGACUUGGAGAUGUCAAGCGCAGAUCAUUCUAUGGAAAAAGAAGUACAUAGUGUUUCCAGGCGAGGCGGCAAGGCUAACAAGUCCACCCCCUCCGAUGGUGGUGGUGGUGGUGGCGGUGGUGGUGGUUCACCUACAGCUCCUUCAUGCCAUUCGACGCCGUCCCCCGAUCCACAACCUCCGGCGGGUACGACGCCCCCAAUCCUCCUCCGGCGGGUACGACGCCCCCCAAUCGACCUCCGGCGAAGAAGCAGAAGCAGGCGGACAGCAAGGAAACCCGCUCCUGGACUAUUAACCCGGACCCUUAUGUACCUAAGACCACAAGGGUACCGGAGCCAUCACUGAAGCCUCUCCUCCCAAGGCCUUGGGAACUUAGUGAAGCUGAAACCAAAUUGGCCGCGUCUGCUCAUUAUGAGAAAUGGAAGGCGGAUAUGAAGGCGAUAAAAGAGCCUGAGCCCAAGCAAGUAUUCACUGAGAAGCAAAAGAAGUGGGCUAAGGAUUUUUUGACGACACCGUCCCAAGCCGAGCUGAAUAUGCCUGACGACUAUGGACAUGAACUUCGUAGGCAAGCAAAAAUAUUGAAGGAGGAGAAAGAAGAAAGUAAAAAAAGCGGGAAACAAGUUGACCAGCUCGGGAUGCAGAAUAAACAAUCGAUCCCCCCGCUCAUAGUGAAAGCCGGUCCGGAAGAGGACCCCGAGAUCAUAGCAGCUGCGGCAGCACUUGGAUUGACUGUAGCGAGUGCCAUGAAACAAGCGUCCGAGAUGGGUUUGACUCUUCGUGCCUUCAUAGGCCUUGAGGAUGCGCCAGUAUGUGAGAUAGCAUUACAAUAUGUGCGAGAUGGGCCUCUCGUCGAGCCUGCGCGGGAAAAGAGUCUACCACCACAAAUGCGAAAUCUGCUACGUUGGUACAAGCAAUUCAUAACAUGGGCCGACAAAGAAUAUGUUUAUGCGGAUGUUACAGAGGAGCAUCUGUAGCGACCAGACCUCAAAUGGUCUGUGCUGCUGUGCACCAGUGUCAUCCCUGGAUCAGUAAUGCUGACACACACAGUACAAAUGGAGGAUUUAUAACAGAGUAGCAAUCACACACUUAUUACAUCGAAUAUCUCCGAAGAGAUUAAGUAUGUUAAACAUGGCUUAAGGCCAUCUAAAACGAUAACAGCGGAAGACUUGGAAGAUAAGUGAGUCCAUCAACUCCAGCGGCAUCACUGAGUAUAAGACCACGACCUAAGGCACCUUACUCGUCGUCUGAAAAGUCUGCAACAUGAAACGUUGCAGCCGGAAACGGGUCAGCACAUAGAAUAUGCUGGCAAUGUAACACAUAGAGAAUAAUGAACAAUAACAAUGCUAUACUACAUGCAUAUAUGGCUGGUGGAAAGCUCUAUGGUUAUAGUUUUGCGAAAAGCCAAUUUUAUCCUACUUCAAAGGAAUAAAUUUUAUUUAACUAUCAUGGUGGUUGUGAAACAUUGAGAUGGUUGACAGCAUCUCAAUCCCAAUUAAAAAGUCAUCAAUAACCCAACAAAAUUAAUUAGAAGUAACAUAGUGAUGAGAUUCACAUGAUAAUCCAAGUACUAGAUACUCAAGUUGUCCAUAACCGGGGACACGGCUAAUCAUGAUCAGUUUGUACACUCUGCAGAGGUUUGUGCACUUUUCCCCACAAGACUUGAUCUCCUCCGUUGGAUUACUCGCACUACAUGGUGUUUGAGUAACGGAUGACCAAGACACAGUCUUUCAGAAGUGUUUGCACCUUACGUAUGGGUAGACAGUUACACCUACUUUCCCCUACAUCUGCUAGUCUACCACUGUAAGAGUUCACACAACUUAGUCAACUAUGCUAGAGCCCAUAAUAGCUUGCGGCUGCACACGGAAGUUUCUAGCAUGAAUAAUCUCAUGAUCCCUUUGAACCUGGGUGGCGGUCCAAAAGAAAAACAGGCAAUCCUGGAAUACCCAGGUACCUCAAUCCACCCAGAUGUGAGUUUAAGUUGCCACCUUAAGUAAACCAUUAAUUAACAAUCUCACAUCUGUCAUGAAUUUCACUCAAACCCAAACCACGUCUACGAGCAUAGCAUGGCAAUAAUAAAAGCAACGUAGAAGUAACUCCCAAGGGUUUGAAUGGAAACAGGUAAUAGGUUCUACCUCAACUACUUCCCAAUACCCACAAUUUAAUUAGGUCCUACCCAUGCAAUGUUUGAGGAAAACAGAUCUAAUGCAAUAAAAACUGGGUAUGAACGGGAUAUGAUCAAAGUGUUACUUGCCUUGCUGAUGAUCCGCAAAACCUAGCGAUUCGAAGUAACAAGCGGCACACUCCGGGUACUCUAUCGCAAACAAACAAGCAUACAAUCAGUACUCAUCUAAUGCACAGGUAAAACUCGAAGAAAAGAUCCAACCAGAAGGUUCAACUUAAGAACUCCGGUUUGCAAAAGAAUCAACUCGAAAGAAGCAACGAAAGUCAAACGACGAAAGAAAGAAACUUCGUUUGCUAAUCUGGAUCUAGGUCAAAUUUUACUGUUGCAAAAACUUGUUUGAGUAGGUUAAACGGAAAGAGAAUUUCGAGACGAAACUCUAGGCGCUUGAAUCGCCUGAUUCCGAUAAACGAGCGAAAAGUUAAACAGAAUCGAAGAUUCAAUCAGAAAUCGAAUCCGAGAAAAUAACGAGAAAACUCCGACGAAAAAGAAAAACGGACGAACGGUUAAAUAACGGCCGUUCGUUAACAGAGAAAAACCGACGAACGCGUUCGUUAAAACGAACGGUUCGGUGAACGCUCGCAAAAUAAUAAAACCGAAAAAAAAUGAUUUAGGUUUUUUUUUAACGAAGGGUUUUUUUUAAACGAAAACCGGCAAAGUCAACGGGCGGCGGCAGUACCUCGUCGGGCUCCGGCGGGGCGGCGAGCUCGGGCGGCGGGGUGCAGGGCUCGGGGCGGGCAAGGCGAGGCGGGGGCGGUGGCUCCCGGCNNNNNNNNNNGUUGCGGGCGGCGGCGGGGCUCGGCGGUGAGGGCUCCGGCGGCGGCGGUGGUGAGAGAAAGAGAGGGGGGUAUUUAAGGAGGGGGGGUCCGGUGCCUUGGGGAGGGGGCAAGGGCGGCGGGCGGCGUAGCCGGCCGGGACUUGGGCGGCGAUCCCGUCUCUGGGGCGGAGACGACGGGGCGGCGGGGCUGGGCCGUCGGCUGGGCCUUUGGCCCAGUCGGCGCGCGGGCGUUUUUUUUUAAAUAAGUUCCGCGAUAAAAAUUACGUCGAAAAAUAAAUAAAAAUCAGAAAAAUAUGAAAUAAAUUUUCCCCGUCUUGUUAGAAAAUCUAGAAUAGGGUGAACAUUUUUUUAAAUCAAAACAAAUAUUUUGAAAACAUGCAAUAUUUUUUUAAUGCAAUAAAAAUUGCAAAUAAAAUCCAAAUAAAUUCCAAAUAAUGAUUUCAACAUUUUUCCUCCAGUAUUUCAAUUGUUUUGGAGAAGUCAUGUUUUCUCCUCUCGUAUAUUUUUAAAAUGAAAUAUUUUUCCGGAGGGAAAAUAAUUAAAACCAAUAUCCUCGUCUUAUUAUUUGAUGAAAAUCAAAUAUGAAAAUUUAAGAAAAAUCCCCAACUCUCUCCGAGGGUCCUUGAGUUGCUUAGGAUUUAUCGAGGAUUUGUCAAAAUGCAAUAAAACAUGAUAUGCAAUGAUGAUCUAUGUAUAACAUACCAAAUUGAAAAUUUGGGAUGUUACAAACCUACCCCCCUUAAGAUGAAUCUCGCCCUCGAGAUUCGGGUUGGCUAGAAAACAGGUGAGAGUGGUCUUUCUGUAGAUCUUCCUCUUGCUCCCAGGUGACUUCAUCUUCUGUGUGGUGACUCCACUGAAGUUUGCAAAACUUGAUAACCUUGCUGCGGGUAACUCGGCUGGCAUACUCGAGAAUCUUAACUGGUUUCUCCUCAUAAGUCAAAUCACUUUCCAACUGUAUCGCUUCCAGUGGCACAGUAUCUCUCAGUGGUAUCUCAGCCAUCUCUGCGUGCCACUUCUUCAACUGCGAAACGUGAAAUACAUCAUGUACUCCAGACAAUCCCUCGGGCAAUUCCAGCUUGUAGGCAACUUCUCCCAUUCGUUCCAACACUCUGUAUGGUCCAAUAAAACGGGGCGCUAACUUUCCCUUAACUCCAAAGCGCUUCACUCCUCGAAUGGGUGAUACUCGAAGAUACACUCUGUCUCCGACUUCGUGAACGGUCUCCUUUCGUUUAGAAUCAGCAUAACUCUUCUCUCUGGACUGGGCUACCUUGAGCCUAUCGCGAAUCAACCUUACUUUCUGUUCAGACUCCUUAAUCAAAUCUGGUCCAAACAACUGACGGUAUCCAACUUCGUCCCAUAACAACGGUGUUCUACACCUCCUUCCGUACAAGGCUUCGAAAGGGGCCAUCUUCAUACUGGUUUGAUAACUGUUGUUAUAAGAAAACUCCGCAUAUGGCAAAUUGUCGUUCCAACUAGAUCCAUAAUCUAGUGCACAUGCUCUCAACAUGUCCUCCAAAAUCUGGUUGACUCUCUCGGUCUGUCCAUCUGUCUGCGGGUGAAAUGUUGUACUAAAUUCCAGCCUGGUUCCCAACGUUUCAUGUAACUGCUUCCAAAACUUCGAGGUAAAUUGGGUUCCUCUGUCUGAUACAAUGGUCCUCGGAACUCCAUGAAAACAUACGAUCCUGGUCAUGUAUAUCUUUGCCAAUUUAGCACUGGUGUAAGUGGUCUUCACUGGAAUGAAAUGAGCCACUUUCGUCAAACGGUCGACUACAACCCAUAUCGAGUCAUAGCCUGAACGAGUCCUGGGUAAUCCCGUGAUAAAAUCCAUGCCUAUUUUAUCCCACUUCCAUUCGGGUAUCGGCAAUGGUUGUAGCAAUCCUGCUGGCUUCUGAUGCUCUGCCUUCACUCUCUGACAUACAUCACAAACUGCUACAUACUCUGCAAUAUCCUUCUUCAUUCCGGUCCACCAGAAAGUAUUCUUCAAAUCCAAAUACAUCUUGGUAUUCCCUGGGUGAAUCGAGUAUGGUGAAUCAUGGGCUUCUUGCAAAAUCAACUUCCUGAUCUCCGGAUCAUUUGGCACAUAUACGCGGUCCUCGAACCAUAGGGUAUCGUGCUCAUCCUCACGAAAUCCCUUGGCUUUUCCUUUGCUCAUCUUCUCCUUUAUCUCUUCAAUCUCCUUGUCUGUCUUCUGAGCUUCUCUGAUCCUUUCCAUCAAGGUAGACUGAAUCUCCAAUGUCGCUAAAUAGCCUCUUGGGACUAUCUCCAAACAUAGCUCGCGUAGGUCCUCGGCUAACUCCUGAGGUAACUCUCCUGUCAUGAGGGUGUUGACAUGAGUCUUGCGGCUCAACGCGUCUGCUACUACGUUAGCCUUUCCAGGGUGAUAAUGCAAUCUCAUAUCAUAAUCCUUAAUGAGCUCCAACCAUCUCCUCUGUCUGAGAUUCAACUCCUUCUGCGUGAAAAUGUACUUCAAACUCUUGUGAUCCGUGUACACCUCACAAUGGUUUCCGAUGAGAAAAUGUCUCCAUGUCUUCAAUGCAUGCACCACGGCUGCUAAUUCCAAAUCAUGCGUAGCAUAAUUCUUCUCAUGGGGUUUAAGUUGUCGUGAAGCAUAUGACACAACUCUUCCUUCCUGCAUAAGCACUGCUCCAAGUCCUCGACGAGAAGCGUCGCAAUAAACUUCAUAAUCCUUGCGUUGAUCUGGCAGAAUCAGCACUGGUGAUGUAACCAAUCGUUUCUUCAACUCUUGGAAACUAGCUUCACAUUCCUCAGUCCAAUUGAAUUUGGUGUCCUUCUUCAAUAGCUCAGUCAUGGGCUUAGCAAUCCUUGAGAAAUUCUCGAUGAAUCUCCGGUAGUAUCCUGCAAGUCCAAGAAAACUCCGGAUUUCUCCAACUGUCGUGGGUGAUUCCCAACUUGUCACUGUGUCAACCUUGGCAGGGUCUACUGCUAUUCCUUCUCCAGAAAUAACAUGUCCAAGGAAUCCAACUUCCUUCAACCAAAACUCACAUUUGCUGAACUUGGCAUAUAAUUGAUGUUCUCUGAGCUUCUCAAGUACCAAUCGCAAAUGCUCCUCAUGCUCUUCCUCAUCCUUGGAAAAGAUUAAAAUAUCAUCAAUGAACACCACGACGAACUUAUCCAAAAACUCCAUAAACACUUUGUUCAUCAGGUUCAUGAAAUAGGCAGGUGCGUUAGUCAGACCAAAUGACAUAACGGUAUACUCAUACAAUCCAUAUCUGGUGGUAAAUGCCGUCUUGGGUAUAUCCUGCUCUCGAAUCUUUAAUUGAUGGUAUCCCGAUCGUAGAUCGAUCUUGGAAAAUACCUUAGCUCCUUGUAGGCGGUCAAACAAAUCAUUGAUCAUCGGCAGUGGGUACUUGUUUUUGAUGGUCACUUCAUUCAAUCCUCGGUAAUCAACAACCAUCCUCAGCGAUCCAUCUUUCUUCUCCACUAGAAGUACUGGUGAUCCCCAAGGUGACGAACUUGGGCGAAUAUAUCCUUUAUCCAGUAACUCCUUGAUCUGCUUCUUAAUUUCCUCCAAAUCCUUUGCGGGCAUCCUGUACGGUCUCUUAGAUAUUGGCCCUGUGCCUGGCAAAAGUUCAAUCAAGAACUCAAUGUCUCUAUCCGGUGGCAUGCCUGGCAACUCUUCUGGAAAUACAUCCGGAUAAUCUUUCACCACUAGUACUUCCUCCUGUACAACUCCUGAUAAGGAAUUUACUUGAGUCCUCUUCGGCAUAUGUCGAGAUACAUACUUGAUCCUCUUUCCUUCCGGGGUGGUAAGCAAAAUCGUCUUGCUGGCACAAUCGAUGUUUCCUCCAUACAACGAUAGCCAAUCCAUUCCCAAAAUCACAUCCAAACCUUGCGAUUCCAAAACAAUGAGGUCUGAGGGGAAAACAUGCCUACCAAUGGCCAAUGGUAUCCGAAAACAUCCUUGGGUGGCCAUAUACUCUGCUCCUGGCGAGGUUACUAACAUAGGGUUUCUGAGAACUUUGGUGGACAUCUUAAACUUAUUCACGAAUCCCCUUGAUAUGUAUGAAUGCGAUGCACCAGUAUCGAAAAGAACGGUUGCAGUAAAUGACUUAACCAAAAACUUACCUAUUACUGCAUCAGGCUGAGCUUCAACCUCGUCCACGCUCACGUGGUUCACGUGUCCUUUGUUGAACGGGUUCGGCUUCUUCCCAGAGCUUCCAUUGCCAUUUCCAUUUUGGGCUUCAGGACAUUCAUUGGCAUAAUGUCCAUUCUUCUGGCACUUAAAACAAGUGACUUGGCUCAGGUCCCUCUUGGCUGGGGUAGAUGGGUUGGUGCGGUUCUGUCCGUUGCUUCCUCCAUUCCCAUUACCAAUCUUGGAGCCAUUAUGGUUGUGCGAACUACCUCCUCCAUGGGUAUGCUGAAACUGUCCUCCCGGCUUCGGGGUAAAUCGAGGCUUCUGCUGAGCUCCUGAAUCAUACUUCCCUUGUCCAUACUUCCUUUUACGAUUUUCAAUCUGUUGUUGCUUCCCUUCAAUCAUGAGGGCUCUAUCUACCAACUCCUGGUAGUUGUUGAAGGUUGCUACCAUCAACUGCAUACUCAGUUCAUCAUUCAGUCCUUCCAAAAACUUCUCCUGCUUGGCAGCAUCUGUAGCAACGUCAUCUGGUGCAUAACGUGCUAACUUACUAAAUUCCUCCACAUACUGGCCUACGGUGCGUCCUCCUUGGCGUAGGUUACGAAACUCACGCUUCUUCAUAGCCAUAGCUCCUGCUGAAACAUGAGCUGUACGGAAAGCUUGCUGAAACUGGUCCCAUGUGACAGUGUCAAUAGGGUGCGUGGCUGUAUAAUUCUCCCACCAUGAUGCUGCGGGUCCAUCAAGCUGAUGUGCGGCAAAACGCACUCUUUCCGCAUCUGUGCAUCCUGCAGUGGUCAACUCCCUUCCAACUUUGCGGAGCCAAUCAUCUGCUACAAUCGGCUCGGUGCUACUGGAAAACACCGGCGGGUUUAGCCUCAGGAAACGGGCUAAGUGAUCAACAGGUGGUGGUGGCGGUGGGUUGUUGUUGUUGUUGUUGCCUUGGUUCUGCACUAACACUUGCAUCAGGGCAUUCUAUUGCUGAAUCAACUGGAUGAUCUCUGGUGGGAAAACAAAUCCGGUGUCGCGUCUCGGAGGCAUCUGAUGGGUUUAGAAAAGAUGAGAGUUAAGAAUAGAAUGAGGUCUAGAGGGAAAACACUACCCAUAUGCUCAUGAGACAAAUUCAAUCAAUAUCACUCAAUCAAUUCAAACAAGGCAAAACAAUCGAUCUGACUAGCGUUACAAAGUGCUUGAACUAUACUAUUGAAUGGGGGAAAACUACUACUGAUAUGGUGGUCUACUAGAAAUUCUGAUCCGUUGAAGACUCCAUGAUGUCUGCUCCAGCUUCAUCAAUCCAGUCAUCUUCACUUGGUUCCGAGUCGGUGUCGUCGAUGAUGAUGUAGUUAUCCGGACAAGUGCAUUCGUCGACUUCUGCUUUUGGCACUGGAUUUCCCACGAAUGCUCCAAUCUUCUUCUCCAGGUCGUCAAUCUUUCCUACUAGUGCGUUGAUUUCCUCCAAGUAAUCUUCGCGUGUAGCCUUGAGUUCUUCUUGGAGCUCCUUGAUCUUCGUUAAUGCCUUCUUCAGUUCUUCCUUGUCCGUGCACAUCUGGUUCUCCUGGCGACGAAUAUGUUGGUUCUGCUCCUGGAUGAAUGCUGCAAUUGAUCCAUCCCUCUUGGUCUUGAUCAUCUCCCAUUGCGCGUCUCGACGUCCACAAAUUUGGUAAAUUGUAUCCUUAAGCUCCUGGUGAUAGACUUCUCCAAUGCGUCCCAUGGCGAUGUGUGCGGCCAUGCUCUUCCCUAAACUCCAAGUUGGUGCAUCGAAAACCAAUCUUAUGGCACUAAUAUCCUUCCUGGAAUGAUAACUUGAAUCUUCCAUCUCUCCUCUUCAGGUAAUGUGGCGUUGUAGGUUCCGGUGAUGCUUGGUAUUCCUAUGUUCAAGUACUUGGUGACUUCCUUCAAAUGUCGACCAAACGGCGUGUCUUCAUCUGGUUGCAUGAACUUGCUCCUUGCAUUCGCCAUUCCUAAAAGAGUAGAAAGUGGAGAGGGGUCAGAAAUGAGAAGAGAGAAGCUUUCUAGGGCUUAAGCUUAGUGGUCGUGUCCUACAGUCAGCGUGUGCUCUGAUACCAACUUUGUAGCGACCAGACCUCAAAUGGUCUGUGCUGCUGUGCACCAGUGUCAUCCCUGGAUCAGUAAUGCUGACACACACAGUACAAAUGGAGGAUUUAUAACAGAGUAGCAAUCACACACUUAUUACAUCGAAUAUCUCCGAAGAGAUUAAGUAUGUUAAACAUGGCUUAAGGCCAUCUAAAACGAUAACAGUGGAAGACUUGGAAGAUAAGUGAGUCCAUCAACUCCAGCGGCAUCACUGAGUAUAAGACCACGACCUAAGGCACCUUACUCGUCGUCUGAAAAGUCUGCAACAUGAAACGUUGCAGCCCGAAAACGGGUCAGCACAUAGAAUAUGCUGGCAAUGUAACACAUAGAGAAUAAUGAACAAUAACAAUGCUAUACUACAUGCAUAUAUGGCUGGUGGAAAGCUCUAUGGUUACAGUUUUGCGAAAAGCCAAUUUUAUCCUACUUCAAAGGAAUAAAUUUUAUUUAACUAUCAUGGUGGUUGUGAAACAUUGAGAUGGUUGACAGCAUCUCAAUCCCAAUUAAAAAGUCAUCAAUAACCCAACAAAAUUAAUUAGAAGUAACAUAGUGAUGAGAUUCACAUGAUAAUCCAAGUACUAGAUACUCAAGUUGUCCAUAACCGGGGACACGGCUAAUCAUGAUCAGUUUGUACACUCUGCAGAGGUUUGUGCACUUUUCCCCACAAGACUUGAUCUCCUCUGUUGGAUUACUCGCACUACAUGGUGUUUGAGUAACGGAUGACCAAGACACAGUCUUUCAGAAGUGUUUGCACCUUACGUAUGGGUAGACAGUUACACCUACUUUCCCCUACAUCUGCUAGUCUACCACUGUAAGAGUUCACACAACUUAGUCAACUAUGCUAGAGCCCAUAAUAGCUUGCGGCUGCACACGGAAGUUUCUAGCAUUAAUAAUCUCAUGAUCCCUUUGAACCUGGGUGGCGGUCCAAAAGAAAAACAGGCAAUCCUGGAAUACCCAGGUACCUCAAUCCACCCAGAUUUGUGUUUAAGUUGCCACCUUAAGUAAACCAUUAAUUAACAAUCUCACAUCUGUCAUGAAUUUCACUCAAACCCAAACCACGUCUACGAGCAUAGCAUGGCAAUAAUAAAAGCAACGUAGAAGUAACUCCCAAGGGUUUGAAUGGAAACAGGUAAUAGGUUCUACCUCAACUACUUCCCAAUACCCACAAUUUAAUUAGGUCCUACCCAUGCAAUGUUUGAGGAAAACAGAUAUAAUGCAAUAAAAACUGGGUAUGAACGGGAUAUGAUCAAAGUGUUACUUGCCUUGCUGAUGAUCCGCAAAACCUAGCGAUUCGAAGUAACAAGCGGCACACUCCGGGUACUCUAUCGCAAACAAACAAGCAUACAAUCAGUACUCAUCUAAUGCACAGGUAAAACUCGAAGAAAAGAUCCAACCAGAAGGUUCAACUUAAGAACUCCGGUUUGCAAAAGAAUCAACUCGAAAGAAGCAACGAAAGUCAAACGACGAAAGAAAGAAACUUCGUUUGCUAAUCUAGAUCUAGGUCAAAUUUUACUGUUGCAAAAACUUGUUUGAGUAGGUUAAACGGAAAGAGAAUUUCGAGACGAAACUCUAGGCGCUUGAAUCGCCUGAUUCCGAUAAACGAGCGAAAAGUUAAACAUAAUCGAAGAUUCGAUCAGAAAUCGAAUCCGAGAAAAUAACGAGAAAACUCCGACGAAAAAGAAAAACGGAUGAACGGUUAAAUAACGGCCGUUCGUUAACAGAGAAAAACCGACGAACGCGUUCGUUAAAACGAACGGUUCGGUGAACGCUCGCAAAAUAAUAAAACCGAAAAAAACCGAUCUAGGUUUUUUUUAACGAAGGUUUUUUUUGAAAACGAAAACCGGCAAAGUCAACGGGCGGCGGCAGUACCUCGUCGGGCUCCGGUGAGGGGCUCCGGCGGGGCGGCGAGCUCGGGCGGCGGGGUGCUGGGCUCGGGGCNNNNNNNNNNNNNNNNNNNNNNNNNNNNNNNNNNNNNNNNNNNNNNNNNNNNNNNNNNNNNNNNNNNNNNNNNNNNNNNNNNNNNNNNNNNNNNNNNNNNNNNNNNNNNNNNNNNNNNNNNNNNNNNNNNNNNNNNNNNNNNNNNNNNNNNNNNNNNNNNNNNNNNNNNNNNNNNNNNNNNNNNNNNNNNNNNNNNNNNNNNNNNNNNNNNNNNNNNNNNNNNNNNNNNNNNNNNNNNNNNNNNNNNNNNNNNNNNNNNNNNNNNNNNNNNNNNNNNNNNNNNNNNNNNNNNNNNNNNNNNNNNNNNNNNNNNNNNNNNNNNNNNNNNNNNNNNNNNNNNNNNNNNNNNNNNNNNNNNNNNNNNNNNNNNNNNNNNNNNNNNNNNNNNNNNNNNNNNNNNNNNNNNNNNNNNNNNNNNNNNNNNNNNNNNNNNNNNNNNNNNNNNNNNNNNNNNNNNNNNNNNNNNNNNNNNNNNNNNNNNNNNNNNNNNNNNNNNNNNNNNNNNNNNNNNNNNNNNNNNNNNNNNNNNNNNNNNNNNNNNNNNNNNNNNNNNNNNNNNNNNNNNNNNNNNNNNNNNNNNNNNNNNNNNNNNNNNNNNNNNNNNNNNNNNNNNNNNNNNNNNNNNNNNNNNNNNNNNNNNNNNNNNNNNNNNNNNNNNNNNNNNNNCGGUGGUAGUGAGAGAAAGAGAGGGGGGUAUUUAAGGAGGGGGGGUCCGGUGCCUUGGGGAGGGGACAAGGGCGGCGGGCGGCGUAGCCGGCCGGGACUCGGGCGGCGAUCCCGUCUCCGGGGCGGAGACGACGGGGCGGCGGGGCUGGGCCGUCGGCUGGGCCUUUGGCCCAGUCGGCGCGCGGGCGUUUUUUUUAAAUAAGUUCUACGAAAAAAUUACGUAGAAAAAUAACUAAAAAUCAGAAAAAUAUGAAAUAAAUUUUUCCCGUCUAGUUGGAAAAUCUAGAAUAGGGUGAACAUUUUUUUAAAUCAAAAUAAAUAAUUUGAAAACAUGCAAUAUUUUUUAAUGCAAUAAAAAUUGCAAAUAAAAUCCAAAUAAUAAUUUCAACAUUUUUCCUCCAGUAUUUCAAUUGUUUUGGAGAAGUCAUGUUUUCUCCUCUCGUAUAUUUUUAAAAUGAAAUAUUUUUCCGGAGGGAAAAUAAUUAAAACCAAUAUCCUCGUCUUAUUAUUUGAUGAAAAUCAAAUAUGAAAAUUUAAGAAAAAUCCCCAACUCUCUCCGAGGGUCCUUGAGUUGCUUAGGAUUUAUCGAGGAUUUGUCAAAAUGCAAUAAAACAUGAUAUGCAAUGAUGAUCUAUGUAUAACAUACCAAAUUGAAAAUUUGGGAUGUUACAGCAUCACACCAAACGGUACUCUGUACAAGUUCAUAUGAGUGAAUUGUUCGAGCUGUUCAAUCUGCGCGACCUCGACAAAUCUAUGCUGAGUUGCUACGUUCCGUAAGUGAUUUAUUUCUACCUCAUCUCGUUCUUCAUUGCCUGCACUAUAUAUAUAUAUUGUCCUAACUAUAUUGUUGCGUACGCUAUUAUGCAGAUUGAAGAUUUGGGAAUGCAAAAUAAGAAACAUCCAUGAUGUUGGGUUCAUUGACCCACAUAUCGUUAAUGGACAUGUGUUACAAAAUCACCCCGAAGACGUGGAGAAAGACUUGUACAAGUUUCUUAGAAAGCAUCAACUCAAAAGUCAUAUUCUAUUUCCUUACCAUUUUGGGUGAGUGUUUCUCUCUUGUGCCCAUUUCUUUUGUUUACUCCAUGCAUGGUAUGUCUAAUCCAUGAGUUAUGCAUGACUGUGCAUGUAACGUGUCCGCAGGUUCCACUGGAUUCUGCUAAAUAUUGAACUUCACACCUCCAGAGUUCUAAUCAUGGACUCUAUGGAUUCGGAUCCAAAGCGUUGGGCCGACAAGAGAAAAAUGCUGCAAAAGUAAUUAUUUUCAAUCAUUUGAGCUCUAUAUCGAUCGGUCUCUUUCGUUCAUUUCCUAAUAUCAAGUAACUAAUAACUCCCUUGUUCAUUUAAUUUUCUUUACCCUGUAGGGUUUGGAGACGGUUCUCAGAAGAAAUUGUCGGUGAAUUCAAACAUGAGCUAGAUUUUAGAAGGUUAGUUAAUGUGGAUAAGCAGCCACCGGGGACCAAUCUAUGUGGAUACUAUGUUUGUGAGAACAUCCGGAGACACACCUCUGAGCGGAAGGCAUCGGAUAGCGUGCGGAAGGCGACGGAUAACUUGCGGAGGAGGCUUAGUCCAGAAGCUCGCUUCCGACCAAUUCAAGAUGAAUUAGCAGGAUUUUUCAUGAGGGAAGUCAUCAAUCCUAAAGGAGAACACUAUACCGAGGACGAAGAAAUUUAUAUGCAUACCCGAGAUUGAAACUUGUUCGAAGUUGUAUGUGGUCAUCCAUCCUAAUUGUGUAUGGAAACUUGUUCGAAGUUGUAUAUGGUCACCCGAGAUUGAAUAUAUAUUAUAUAUUCCUCUUGAAUUCUUCUUGUUUGAAAUUUCAUAUGCAUGUAUAUAGUAGCGUAGAAUAUGUGUACUGAAACUUCAUCAAAAUUAAAAUAAAACACAAAAUAAAAUAUAAAAGAAAUAAAACACUACAAAUUAAAAAGAAACCAGGUUUAGGGGGGUUAAAACCCUAAACCUGCGGAGGAGGCCUUUAGUCCCGGUUAGCCACGAGAACCGGGACUAAAGGUCCUCCGCCCCGACGGACCCCUGGCGCCUACGUGGACGGGCCUUUAGUCCUGGUUAGCCACGAGAACCGGGACUAAAGGUCCUCCGCCCCGACGGACCCCUGGCGCCCACGUGGACGGGCCUUUAGUCGCGGUACGUAAGAGGGGCGACUAAAGGGGGGGGUCUUUAGUCGCGCAUAUUUAGUCCCGGUUGCACAGCCGGGACUAAAGGCAUUUGCGAACCGGGACUAAAGGCCCAUUUUCUACCAGUGCCGCACCAUGUCCAUAUAGUGGGCACGGGCCUCGCCGAUAGUCAUGUCAGCAUGCAUCGGCGACGAGGGUGGCGCCGGUUCGUCCUCAGUUGUGUCCUCCAUUUCGUUGGCCGGCGUUUGCCUGCCAGCCGGCAGCAAUGGAAGUCAUCUCUUUCUUCUGCUUCGACGAGAAUCUGUCCCAGAGGAGCAAGCACCUGCAACGAACACAUGCGUGCGGUUUGAGGGCGUUGGAGAUACCCUAAAUAGUUAUCUCUAAAAACUUGAUAAAAAAUUUAAAAGUUUACUUUUUCAAAAAAUCUAUACGCAUUACAUUAUAGAACAGCUGAAGUAAAAAAUUGCUACUGAUUACUCCAUGAAUUUGUCUACGAGUCCUGAGCGAGUAAAAAUUGUAGACUACCAUGACCGAAUAAACAACCACUGUUGGAUGGUACUGUUCCUUGUCACGUGAACUUCAGUUAUGAUAUUUUUGCCAUACAGUACAUCUAUGAAGGUACAACUACGUAAAAUUCAGGUCCGUCAUGAGGUGGAUGGUUUACUUAUGGUUUUCAGUGAUCUCUUGUUAUGGUUUAUGGGGUGGCGCAGCUGGAACACGAAAGAGAUUUUUGGUUGAAUUGCUUGUAUAAGUAAACUCAGUCACUUCUCGUUAGGGGUGACUUUCUUAUUACAUGCUGAGAUUGAUGAAGAUAAAAACACAUGAUGCCCAUUUGUCGGUCUUCAUAACGUGGAAUUUAGGAUAUUCACAAAAGCAGACGCUAAUGGCAUCUUGCAACGCGGACUCUUAAAUCAUCCGCAUACGUCCGAACCGGUUCAGACCUGUUAUGUUAUCCAAUGAGGAUCUGUAUCAGUCCGCUCUGCGGUCCAGACACAUUUUUUUCAUAAACCAAUGACAAACUAGGAUGGGUGUGCUUUGGGGGUGUCUGAACCGCUGCCACAUCCGCUUCUGUCUACCCUGACACUCACCCGCGAGCGUAUCCUGCCCGAAACGGUCAGCGCCGCUCCAGAGCUCAGUGCCGUAUUCAUGCCCGGUCAAAGCGCACACGACCUCUCACUACUGACGGCAUUAAAGCGGCAUACCGGCCGAGAUAGCGCCGCCUGCGCUGAUUCCUGGUGCAUGUGACCGCUCCAUGUUCAAACGACGUUAUGGUUGUUCGUGGCCUUACAUUAAUGACACGCGGUAGUCGAGGAGUCUACUCCAGUGCAACUCGUCCGUCCGUCUGCCGCCCAGCAUUGACACUCGCCCGCUAAUUCCAGCCCCGGCCAUAGCCACGGUCAUCCUCCUCCGGUACCUUUCUCCUCUCCGCACCAUGCCCACCAUGGUCUUCACGUGCUCCAAAGUCCUCUGGGACGGACUCUCGUCAGAGCAGAAGAAGGAGAUGGCCGCCAUUGCUGCUGGCUGGCAGGCUAGCAGGGACGGAGGCCGACGACGUCCCAAUGGAGGACGCGGCCGAGGAUGAGCUGGUGCAUGCCGGCAUCACCAUUGUGAGGCCCAUGCCCACUAUAUGUACAUGGUGUGGGAGAAGCGGGAGGCCAAGUUCCGGGAGGCGUAGGAUGACCAGGCCUACAACCUCCAUCUCCUCGACGAGCACUAGUAGACGGAGGUGCAGCUCGCCGCCGGCAUGGCCAUCACGCUGAACGCGGACAUGGUGGAGCAGGCAGCGCUGCCUGAGUCCUACCGCUCCGCCCACGAAAUCCGUCGUGACCAAUGGUGGUAGCGCUAAUAUUAGGUUGAACUGGAGGCCACAUACAGGAGAUGGAUGAGGCGGCGGACGAGAUGUUCAGCAACAACGACGAUGAGGGGGCCAUCGUCGGCUCCACCAAGGUCGCGCCCCGCCGCCAUGACCACGAAGCCGACACAUCCACGGGAGUCGCCGACAGCGAGGCGAGGAAGAGUAGCGCAUGCUAGGUCACCGGCGCUCAGGUCCCAAGAAGGCCACCGCUCUUCCCCUCGCCUGAAGCCAAUCUUGGCGGGCUGAAAAUCGUCGCCCGAGUAGCCGCUCAAACUGCGGUGGCGGAGGCAGAGCUGGAGACUGUCGGGGCGGAACUGGAGAAGGCCUCCUUCACCAUCUUUAUCAAUGUCUUAAUGAGAUAUGUCAGGACUAUCUUUAUGGAGGAGGAAAAUCUAUGCGUAAUGGAUUUCGAGGUCAAUUGGCGAUGAUCAUCCUUUACAUUAGCAUCAUCGAUAUACUUGCCACUACAUCAGGGAGUAAACAGGAAGUUGUAAUCUUUAUCAGCGCCUUAAUGAGAUAUGUCAGGACACAUCUUGCACGUAUAACCCACGAACAAUGAUUCUUGUAUUCCACAUCUGAUCGUGUAAUGCACUUUGGAGUUUGACUUGUCCACCUUGAAUGGCCGAUGAUACUUAACCGCGUAGUCCUUGAGCCACAUCUGAAGUUCUACCAAGGUUUAAAAGUUUGUUCCUUCACGAACACCAGACACAUCUGGUCGGUUAUCUCACUUGGAAGAUAACCUUGGUGCAAGAAUUUUACUUCUGCCACCAUAAACAAUAGCCUUAUUGGUGACGCUUAGGUCACGGAACAAUGAUGUCUCAUGAUCCCAGCCUAUUACCUUUUAUUAAGCUUUGGUUUCUUUAGUUAUCAAAACGUCCUCAUCUAUUUCUUCAUUGGGUCAAGUCAACUCCAUCACUUUCAUCCAUCCAAUUUAGCUUGCUCCGGAGCUAUGCCACAAGAUCGGCAAGUUUAUAUCUAGUGCCAAACACCAUCACUACCUCCUUCUUCGAGUCACCAUAUUCAGCAUUUCCCUUCUCAAAAGUGGCAUAGUACACAUGAUGAACAUUCACGAUUCUCAUCAUCUACAAACAUAGUAACCGAACAUGCAUCAAUAUUUUUUUAAAUGGAUGAUCUAGGGUUUCUCCAAAUCGGUACAAUGCGGAUAUUUCGACCAAUAAAAGGAGUAGGAACGGUGAAGAAUACGUGGAGGGGUCCAAGGGGAAGAUAAUUCACGAAUUUGAAGCUCUGGUUCACUAUAUUUAGUGGCAUUAGGGAGCAGUGAGAGGGGGCUAGCCGGGGUGGAGAAAGGAAGAAAAGAGAGGGUUUGGCCAAAAGAGUAGGGGCUGACCGUUUUGGUUCUGCGAAGGGGCAUGGCGCCCUAGGCUGGGGCAUCAUGAUUAUCAGCAUGGCUCCCUCUUUUAGGUUGAGUUCUAGCGCAAGCCGAUGUGGCAAGUCAGCGCUGAUCAGCGGCAAAUCUAGAAAGAAAAUGGAGUGCAAGCUUAAAGUUAAUGGCUAGUAAGCCUAACACUUUCCCCGCAAAAAAAAGAGUAAGCUAAACACUUUUUUUUUGCAAAAAAUGGCACAUUUAGCAAGAUUGCCAUUCUCUUCUAACCCUAUUUCCCAAAUAACCUCAAUGUUUCCUAGAUAAGUACCAAGAACAUGUACUAUUUACUAGUUUUUUUAGGAUUGUUUUCAAAAUAUGAAGUUUUGAAAAAACACAUCUAUGUAGUAAAAUUGCCAUUAUCUUUCAAUCAUGUUCUCCAAAUAACCUCAAUUGUUUCUAAAUUACUACUAAGCACAUGUAGUAUUUAUUAGAAUACUUUAGGAUUUUAAAAAUAGAUAUUUUGCCUGAUCCCAAAAGACCAUUGGAACAACGGGGGUUUGUAGAUGGAGUGGGGAAGUGGCUAGUGGCUGGUACAGAGUAGUAGAAAAAAAUAAGUAUUCAAUAUUUUGGAGGGCAGACUUCAGCAUGUUGAAGUGUGUCUACUAGAAUGGUGUUGAUCUGUGGCGUUCUUGACCAAGGCGUCAUGUUGUCUAGCAUGGCGUCCGGAGCCUGAGCAACAUGAAAACAAACCAUUUUAUGAAAUAGUUUUAAAUCAUUUUUUUAAGAAAGGGCUAACGCCCCCCCCCCCCGCCCCAACUUUUAUUAAAGCCAAGGCAGCCACGACAGGACCAGACUGUUAAACAGCUCUCGGCGACAACCAAAGUAGCUGUCGCGGAAGACACAUGCAAGGGUUUAAACUACUGCCCUACUACAUCUCUCACAGAGAGUUUUUUCAGAAAGGUAGAUAGAGUACAGCUGGAGAGAGCGGUACAAGAACAAGAUGAUAAUACACCCCCCCAAGCCCCAUUACCCUAGCUACGUUCAGCUAGUCCAGGCGAUUCUAAGCAGUUGCCUUCUUCGCCGAUCCAAAAGUCUUAAGCACUGGAGAAGUAAAGCACCCUGGACCUCUGAACACAAGAUUUUCCACUACCUGAUUGUUUCCCCCACCUGAUCCAACACACAGCGUAUACUUUGUCAUCUUCUCCCCUGAAAGACAAAGUCACUACGCAAAUGCCAUAAGCACCACAAGGUAGCAGAGAUAGCAAUGUUAAUAGCUUCACAUUGUUUCUUCUUCUUCGAGAAGGAAGAUAACGAUGUAAAAGAGACAGGCGGGGUUAUAUUAAAAGGUUCAGCAAUCACAUUCCAAAUUUCACUCGCAACAAUGCAUUCAAAUAGUAAGUGUUGCACUGAUUCCGGUUUAGCACAAAAGACACAGGUCAUAUCUUCAACAAGCCUUCUUUUUGCAAGAUUAUCUCUAGUUAAGCUUUUGUUAUUAUACACCAGCCACAUUAAAACAUGAAUAUUAGGGGGAACUUUAUCUUCCAUAUGAAAUCUUUAAUAUCAGAGGAAAUCCCGCCAAAGUUAAUCAUCUUAUAAAAGGAUUUAACAGAAUAUUGACCAGAAGACUCCAAGCUCCAAAUGGGGCUAUCUGUUUGGGAGGACAAUGUAGUUUGUUUAACCAGAUCUACUAAAAGGUUCCAUUUAUAUAUAAUGGACUCAUCCACACAUCUCCUAAAAGUGAGCCGAAGCUGCUCACCAUCCCAGACUUGGGUAAGAGUGGCAUCUUGCUGUUGGCAAAUACUCCCUCCGUUCCAAAAUAUAUGGUGUAUUGGUUUCCGUGCAAGUCAACCAUUUAAAUGUUUGACCAAGAUUAUAGAAUAAAAUAACAACAUCUGCAAUACCUAAUAGAUAAAAUAUGAAACUACUUUUUCGUGAUGGAUCAAAUGAUAUAAUUUUUUAUUUUGGGUAUUGAUAUAUUUUUCUGAAAACUCGGUCAAACGUGCACUUGUUUGAAUUUUGAAAAAACAAAUACACAUUAUAUAAAGGAACGGAGGGAGUACUAUAUAAAUCCAAGAAAGCAGUUUUGAGGGAACAUUCCCCCACCCAAUUAUCAUGCCAGAAAGCAAUGUGCUCACCAUUCCCGAGGGUCCAUCUCCAAAAGGUUUUCGCUGCGGCAAAAGCCCAAGAAAUGCUUUUCCAAAAAGGAGAACCCAGGGCAGGUUUGGCAUAGAAAAUGUUAGGUUUAUCUGUAGCAUAUUUGAAACAUAAAAGCUUUUUCCAAUCUCCCUCCCUCCCAUCAUAAAAUCUCUUCCCCCACGAGGCAAGAAGAGACAUAUUAAAUUCCUUGAGGUUAGGAAACCCCAAACCACCAAUCUCUUUCCUUCUAGCCACAAGGCCCCAACUAGCUAGAUGGUACUUAUGGAUAUCACCCACAUUGCCCCAGAAAAAAUGAGACAUUUGGGAAGAAAUCAUGUCAAUAGCCCAUUUAGGGAAUUUCAUCAUAGCCAUGAGAUAGGAGAGAAUACUAGCAAUGCAGGUAGUUAAUAAGAUCAGCUUGCCUCUAUAAGACAAGAGUUUGCCUAACCAACCAGCAAUGUUUCUAAUAAUCCCGUCAAUAAUAGGUUGUAGGUCCUUGAUACGUCGCCAACGUAUCUAUACUUUUUUAUUGUUCCAUGCUAUUAUAUUAUCUGUUUUGGAUGUUUAAUGAGCUUUAAUAUACUAUUUUAUAUUAUUUUUGGGACUAACCUAUUAAUCGAAGGCCCAGUGCAAAUUGCUGUUUUUUUUGCCUAUUUCAGUGUUUCGCAAAAAACGAAUAUCAAACGGAAUCCAAACGGAACGAAACCUUCACGAGGAUCUUUCUUGGAACAAACGCAAUCCAGGAGACUUGGAGUGGAAGUCAGAGACGCAACGAGGCGGCACGAGGCAGGAGGGCGCGCCCAGGGGGGGUAGGCGCGCCCCCAUCCUCGUGGGCCCCUCGUAGCUCCACUGACCUACUUCUUUUGCCUAUAUAUACUCUUAUACCCUGAAGACAUCCAGGGGAGACACGAAACCACUUUUCCACCGCCGCAACCUUCUGUACUGAUAACCCACAAGUAUAGGGGAUCGCAACAGUUUUCAAGGGUAGAGUAUUCAACCCAAAUUUAUUGAUUCGACACAAGGGGAGCCAAAGAAUAUUCUCAAGUAUUAGCAGCUGAGUUGUCAAUUCAACCACACCUGGAUAACUUAAUAUCUGCAGCAAAGUAUUUAGUAUCAAAGUAGUAUGGAAGUAACGGUAACAGUGGCAAAGGUAAUAUUUUUGGGUUUUGUAGUGAUUUUAACAGUAGCAACGAAAAAGUAAAUAAGCGAAGAACAAUAUGUGAAAAGCUUGUAGGCAUUGGAUCGGUGAUGGAGAAUUAUGUCGGAUGCGAUUAUUCAUGCAACAGUUAUAACAUAGGGUGACACAGAACUAGCUCAAAUUCAUCAAUGUAAUGUAGGCAUGUAUUCCGAAUAUAGUCAUACGUGCUUAUGGAAAAGAACUUGCAUGACAUCUUUGUCCUACCCUCCCGUGGCAGCGGGGUCCUAGCGGAAACUAAGGGAUAUUAAGGCCUCCUUUUAAUAGAGUACCGGACCAAAGCAUUAACACAUAGUGAAUACAUGAACUCCUCAAACUAUGGUCAUCACCGGGAGUGGUCCCGAUUAUUGCACUUCGGGGUUGCCGGAUCAUAACACAUAGUAGGUGACUAUAGGCUUGCAAGAUAGGAUCAAGAACUCACAUAUAUUCAUAAAAACAUAAUAGGUUCAAAUCUGAAAUCAUGGCACUCGGGCCCUAGUGACAAGCAUUAAGCAUAGCAAAGUCAUAGAAACAUCAAUCUCAGAACAUAGUGGAUACUAGGGAUCAAACCCUAACAAAACUAACUCGAUUACAUGAUAAAUCUCAUCCAACCCAUCACCGUCCAGCAAGCCUACGAUGGAAUUACUCACGCACGGCGGUGAGCAUCAUGAAGUUGGUGAUGGAGGAUGGUUGAUGAUGAUGAUGGCGACGGAUUCCCCUCUCCGGAGCCUCGAACGGACUCCAGAUCAGCCCUCCCGAGAGAGUUUACGGCUUGGCGGCGGCUCCGUAUCGUAAAACGCGAUGAAUCCUUCUCUCUGAUUUUUUUCUCCCCGAAUGUGAAUAUAUAGAGUUGGAGUUGAGGUCAGUGGAGCACCAGGGGGACCACGAGGCAGGGGGCGCGCCCAGGGGGUAGGCGCGCCUCCCACCCUCGUGGACAGGGUGUGGCUCCCCUGGCCUUGAUUCUUUCGCCAGUAUUUUUUAUUAUUUCCAAAAAUAGUCUCCGUGAAGUUUCAAGUCAUUCCAAGAACUUUUGUUUCUGCACAAAAAUAACACCAUGGCAAUUCUGCUGAAAACAGCGUCAGUCCGGGUUAGUUCCAUUCAAAUCAUGCAAGUUAGAGUCCAAAACAAGGGCAAAAGUGUUUGGAAAAGUAGAUACGACGGAGACGUAUCAUGUACCCGUGAGAUCCCAUCUUGGGGCCUUUUCCAGCGAUCUGCCGGAGGGGGAUUCAAUCACGGAGGGCUUCUACAUCAACACCAUAGCCUCCGAUGAUGUGUGAGUAGUUUACCAUAGACCUUCGGGUCCAUAGUUAUUAGCUAGAUGGCUUCUUUUCUCUCUUUGGUUCUCAAUACAAAGUUCUCCUCGAUGUUCUUGGAGAUCUAUUCGAUGUAAUACUUUUUGUGGUGUGUUUGCCGAGAUGUGAUGAAUUGUAGGUUUAUGAUCAAGAUUAUCUAUGAACAAUAUUUGAUUCUUCUCUGAAUUCUUAUAUGCAUGAUUUGAUAUCUUUGCAAGUCUCUUCGAAUUAUCGGUUUAGUUUGGCCUACUAGAUUGAUCUUUCUUGCAAUGGGAGAAGUGCUUAGCCUUGGGUUCAAUUUUGUGGUGCUCGAUCCCAGUGAUAGAAAGGAAACCGACACGUAUUGUAUUGUUGCCAUCAAGGAUAAAAAGAUGGGGUUUAUAUCAUAUUGCUUGAGUUUAUCCCUCUACAUCAUGUCAUCUUGCCUAAUGCGUUACUCUGUUCUUAUGAACUUAAUACUCUAGAUGCAUGUUGGAUAGCGGUCAAUGUGUGGAGUAAUAGUAGUAGAUGCAGAAUCGUUUCGGUCUACUUGACACGGACGUGAUGCCUAUGUUCAUGAUCAUGCCUAGAUAUUCUCAUAACUAUGUGCUUUUCUAUCAAUUGCUCGGCAGUAAUUUGUUCACCCACCGUAAUAUAUGCUAUCAUGAGAGAAGCCACUAGUGAAACCUAUGGCCCCCGAGUCUACUUUACAUCAUAUAAGUUUCCUAUCUAUAAUUCUAGUUUACUAUUUAUUUUGCAAUCUUUAUUUUCCAAUCUAUACAACAAAAUACCAAAAAUAUUUAUCUUAUUAUAUUUAUCAGAUCUCACUUUUGCAAGUGGCCGUGAAGGGAUUGACAGCCCCUUAUCGCGUUGGUUGCAAGGUUCUUGAUUGUUUGUGCAGGUAUUGUGUAGUCUCCUACUGGAUUGAUACCUUGGUUCUCAAAAACUGAGGGAAAUACUUACGCUACUUUGCUGCAUCACCCUUUCCUCUUCAAGGGAAAACCAACGCAUGCUCAAGAGGUAGCAAGAAGGAUUUCUGGCGCCGUUGCCGGGGAGAUCUUCGCACAAGUCAAGACAUACCAAGUACCCAUCACAAACUCUUCUCCCUCGCAUUAUAUUAUUUGCCAUUUGCCUCUCGUUUUCCUCUCCCCCACUUCACCCUUGCCGUUUUCUUUGCCCUCCUUCUGUUCGAUCUUGUGUUACCAUGUGCCUUCCUUUUUGUUUGCAUCUUCGCUUGCUAAGAGUUUAUGGAUCCUCAUCCCCUUGCUAAUCUUUUUAAGAGAUCUAAUUAUGAUGAACCAAUUUCUAGUGAUUUGAGUGCACUAGAUUAUCUUUAUGAGGUUUUUCUUGAAAUUCGUGAAUCUGAAAAUUGUGAUGAAGAAAUUUAUGAAGAGAUUCACGAUAGCUCCUUGAGCAAAAGCAUGAUUGCAAUGAUUUUACUAUAAAUUCUCUUGAUGUCAAUUGUGCUAAUAAUAUGCUAAACCCUAAGCUUGGGGAUGCUAGUUUUGCUAUGUCUACUACUUGUUGCAAUGAUCAUGAUUGGGGUGAUUCUUCUUAUGAUCUUGAAAAUUUAUUUAAGCCCCAUGAUGAAUAUGAGAUUGAUAAUAAUUUGUGCAAUAAUAUUGAAAGUGGGUUUGGAAGAGUGUCAACUAUAGAUCCCACAUAUUUGGAGAAUGUUCAAUCUUAUGAAAUUUUUGAUAAAAGUCGGUUUGGAGAGGUCAUGACUUUAGUUAAGGGACAAUUGCAUUUUUACCCCUAGUUGGUUCCUACCCACGGGUUUUGCCCUUACUUUUCGAGCUUGCUCAGUUUUGCCCUUACUUUUUCCGUUGAGGUCCCUCCAAUGCCCUUUGGCCGUUUGACCAAAACUUUGAAAAUUCAUAACUAAUUCGUAUGAACUCGGAAAAAUGCAAAUAAGAUAUCAAAAUGUGUAGAUAAACAUUACCUUUAUGUGCAUAUCAUUUGCAUUCAGGACAAAAGCAAGCUUUAAACUACCUGAGGUAAUUAAUAUUAUUAACAUUAUUAAAAAUAAAAAGGUAUAAACAAUAUUUUUUUCAUGAAUAAAAAUUACAUGCAAAUGUAGGUGAUGUUUUCUGAACAUCCUAAUAUCUUAUUUGCAUUUUUCUGAGUUUGUAUCAACUUGUUAUGAAGUUUCCAAAUAAUGGUCAAAGUCAUUAGAACAUUCUUAACAAGAUGAUACGAACUCAGAAAAAUGCAAAUAAGAUAUCUGGAUGUUCAGAAAACAUCACCUACAUUUGCAUGUAUUUUUUAUUCAUGAAAAAAAUAUUAUUUAUACCUUUUUAUUUUUGAUAAUGUUAAUAACAUUAAUUACCUCAGGUAGUUUAAAGGGUGCUUUUGUCCUGAAUGCAAAUAAUAUGCACAUAAAGGUAAUGUUUAUCUGAACAUUUUGAUAUCUUAUUUGCAUUUUUCCGAGUUCAUAUGAAUUAGUUAUGAAUUUUCAAAGUUUCGGUCAAACGGUCAAAGGGCAUUCGAGGGACCUCGACGGAAAAAGUAAGGGCAAAACUGAGCAAGCUCGAAAAGUAAGGGCAAAACCCAUGGGUAGGAACCAACUAGGGGUAAAAAUGCAAUUGUCCCUUUAGUUAAUGUUAAUCCCACUAUUUUGGAAGAGUGUCAACUUCGCAUGCAUGUGGAUCAUGUUGAGAAUAUGUUAUGUGAUAACUAUUUUGUUGAAUUUGCCUAUGAUCCUACAUGUAAUUAUUAUGAGAGAGGAAAAUAUGGUUGUAGAAAUUUUCAUGUUACUAAAUUACCUUUCUUCAUGUUGAGAUUGCUAUUGUUUCUUUCUUCUUCCUUGCAUAUGCUAGAUCUUGCUUGUCUUGCUAAUUUGUUUUCCUAUAAAAUGCCUAUGCAUAGGAAUUAUGUUAGAAUUAUAUGUGUUUUUCACAUUCUACAUGAUGCUCUCCUUGUGUUUCAAUUGCUAUCUUUCAUGUGAGCAUCAUUAAAAUUAUCAAUGCCUAGCUAGGGGCGUUAAACGAUAGCGCUUGUUGGGAGGCAACCCAAUUUUAUUUUUGUUAUUUGCUUUUUGCUCCUGUUUAGUAAUAAGCAAUUCAUCUAGCCUCUGUUUAUAUGUGGUUUUAUGUUUUAAUUAGUGUUUGUGCCAAGUAAUACCUUUAGGAUAGCCUACGGUGAUAGUUAAUUUGAUCUUGCUGAAAAACAGAAACUUUUGCGCGCACGAAAAUAAUUUUCAUAAAUCACAAGAACGUGCUUUUCAGUUGAUUCUUUUUGCAGAAGAUUAAUAAAAAAAUUUCUUAGGACUUCCUAAUUUCUCAGAAUUUUUGGAGUUACAGAAGUAUGCGUAUGAAUCAAAUUGCUACAGACUGUUCUGUUUUUGACAGAUUCUGUUUUUCGUGUGUUGUUUGCUUAUUUUGAUGAAUCUAUGAGUAGUAUCGGGGGGGUAUGAACCAUAGAGAAGUUGGAAUACAGUAUGUUUAACACCAAUAUAAAUAAAGAAUUAGUUCAUUACAUUACCUUAAAGUGGUGGUUUGUUUUCUUAUACUAACGGAGCUCAUGAGAUUUUCUGUUAAGUUUUGUGUUGUGAAGUUUUCAAGUUUUUGGGUAAAGAUUUGAUGGAUUUUGGAAUAAGGAGUGGCAAGAGCCUAAGCUUGGGGAUGCCUAAGGCAGCCCAAGGUAAAAUUCAAGGACAACCAAAAGCCUAAGCUUGGGGAUGCCUCGGAAGGCAUCCCCUCUUUCGUCUUCGUCUAUUGGGAACUUUACUUGAGGCUAUAUUUUUAUUCACCACAUGCUAUGUGUUUUGCUUGGAGCGUCUUUUAUGAUUUGAGUCUUUGAUUUUUACUUUACCAAUAUCAUCCUUGCUGUACACACAAUUUGGGAGAGACACAAAUGAAUCGGAAUUUAAUAGAAUAAUCUAUGUGCUUCACUUAUAUCUUUUGAGCUAGAUAAUUUUGCUCUAGUGCUUCACUUAUACCUUUUUAGAGCACGGUGGUGGUUUUAUUUUAUAGAAAUUAUUAAUCUCUCAUGCUUCACUUAUAUUAUUUUGAGAGUCUUUUAGAACAGCAUGGUAAUUUGCGUUGGCUAUAAAAUUAGUCCUAAUAUGAUAGACAUCCAAGAUGGGUAUAAUAAAAACUUUCAUAUAGAGUGCAUUGAAUACUAUGAGAAGUUUGAUACUUGAUAAUUGUUUUGAGAUAUGAAGAUGGUGAUAUUAGAGUUGUGCUAGUUGAGUAAUUGUGAAAUGGAGAAAUACUUGUGUUGAGGUUUGCAAGUCCCGUAGCAUGCACGUAUGGUAAACGUUGUGUGACAAAUUUGAAGCAUGAGGUGUUUCCUUGAUUGCCUUCCUUAUGCGUGGAGGUCGGGAUCGCGCGAUGGUUAAAUCCUACCAACCCUUCCCCUAGGAGCAUGCCUGUAGUGCUUGGUUUUGAUGACUUGUAGAUUUUUGCAAUAAGCAUGUGAGUUCUUUAUGACUAAUGUUGAGUCCCUGGAUUAUGCGCACUCUCACCCUUCCAUCAUUGCUAGCCUCUCUUGUGCCGUGCAACUUUUGCCGGUACUGUUGGAAAUAUGCCCUAGAGGCAAUAAUAAAAUGGUUAUUAUUGCAUUUCCUUGUUCAUGAUAAAUGUCUAUUGUUCAUGCUAUAAUUGUAUUAACUGGAAACCGUAAUACAUGUGUGAAUACAUAGACCACAACAUGUCCCUAGAAAGCCUCUAGUUGACUAGCUCGUUGAUCAAUAGAUGGUUAUGGUUUCCUGACCAUGGACAUUGGAUGUCAUUGAUAACGGGAUCACAUCAUUAGGAGAAUGAUGUGAUGGACAAGACCCAAUCCUAAGCAUAGCACAAGAUCGUGUAGUUCGUUUGCUAAGAGCUUUUCUAAUGUCAAGUAUCGUUUCCUCAGACCAUGAGAUUGUGCAACUCCCGGAUACCGUAGGAAAGCUUUGGGUGUACCAAACGUCACAACGUAACUGGGUGGCUAUAAAGGUGCACUAUAGGUAUCUCCGAAAGUGUCUGUUGGGUUGGCACGAAUCGAGAUUGGGAUUUGUCAGUCCGUAUGACGGAGAGGUAUCUCUGGGCCCACUCAGUAAUGCAUCAUCAUAAUGAGCUCAAUGUGACCAAGUGGUUGGUCACGGGAUCAUGCACUAUGGUACGAGUAAAGUGACUUGCCGGUAACGAGAUUGAACAAGGCAUUGGGAUACCGACGAUCGAAUCUCGGGCAAGUAACGUACCGAUUGACAAAGGGAAUUGUAUACGGGAUUGACUGAAUCCUCGACAUCGUGGUUCAUCCGAUGAGAUCAUCGUGGAACAUGUGGGAGCCACCAUGGGUAUCCAGAUCCCGCUGUUGGUUAUUGACCGGAGAGUCGUCUCGGUCAUGUCUGCAUGUCUCCCGAACCCAUAGGGUCUACACACUUAAGGUUCGGUGACGCUAGGGUUGUAGAGAUAUUAGUAUGCGGAAAUCCGAAAGUCGUUCGGAGUCCCGGAUGAGAUCCCGGACGUCACGAGGAGUUCCGGAAUGGUCCGGAGGUAAAGAUUUAUAUAUGGGAAGUCCUAUUUUGGCCACCGGAAAAUGUUCGGGAUUUUUCGGUAUUGUACCGGGAAGGUUGUAGAAGGUUCCGAAGUGGGGCCCACCUGCAUGGGGGGACCCACAUGAACGUGGGUAGUGGGGGCAAGGCCCCACACCCCUGGUCAAGGCGCACCAAGAUCCCACCUUAGAAGGAAUAAGAUCAUAUCCCGAAGGGAUAAGAUCAAGAUCCCUAAAAAGGGGGAUAACAAUCGGUGGGGAAGGGAAAUGAUGGGAUUUCUUUCCCCCACCUUUGCCAUCGCCCCAAUGGACUUCGAGGGCAAGAAACCAGCCCCCUCCACCCCUAUAUAUAGUGGGGAGGCGCAUGGGAGCAGCACCCCAAGCCCCUGGCGCCUCCCUCUCCCUCCCGUGACACCUCUCCCUCUCGCUGAGCUUGGCGAAGCCCUGCCGAGAUCCCCGCUGCUUCCACCACCACGCCGUCGUGCUGCUGGAUCUCCAUCAACCUCUCCAUCCCCUUGCUGGAUCAAGAAGGAGGAGACGUCUUCCCAAUCGUACGUGUGUUGAACGCGGAGGUGUCGUCCGUUCGGCGCUCGGUCAUCGGUGAUUUGGAUCACGACGAGUACGACUCCAUCAACCCCGUUCACUUGAACGCUUCCGCUCGCGAUCUACAAGGGUAUGUAGAUGCACUCCUCCCCUCUCAUUGCUAGCAUCUCCUAGAUUGAUCUUGGUGACACGUAGGAAAAUUUUGAAUUUCUGCUACGUUCCCCAGAAGUGGCAUCAUGAGCCAGGUCUAUGCGUAGAUUCUAUGCACAAGUAGAACACAAAUUAGUUGUGGGCGAUGAUUUGUUCAAUUUGCUUACCGUUACUAGUCUUAUCUUGAUUCGGCGGCAUUUUGGGAUGAAAUGGCCCGGACCGACCUUACACGUACUCUUACGUGAGACAGGUUCCACCGAUUGACAUGCACUUGAUGCAUAAGGUGGCUAGCGGGUGUCUGUCUGUCCCACUUUAGUCGGAUCGGAUUCGAUGAAGAGGGUCCUUAUGAAGGGUAAUAGCAAUUGGCAUAUCACCGUUGUGGCUUUUGCGUAGGUAAGAAACGUUCUUGCUAGAAACCCAUAGCAGCCACGUAAAACAUGCAACAACAAUUAGAGGACGUCUAACUUGUUUUUGCAGGGUAUGCUAUGUGAUGUGAUAUGGCCAAAAGGAUGUGAUGAAUUAUAUAUGUGAUGUAUGAGAUUGAUCAUGUUCUUGUAAUAGGAAUCACGACUUGCAUGUCGAUGAGUAUGACAACCGGCAGGAGCCAUAGGAGUUGUCUUAAUUUGUUGUAUGACCUGCGUGUCAAUGAAAAACGCCAUGUAAUUACUUUACUUUAUUGCUAACCAUUAGCCAUAGUAGUAGAAGUAAUAGUUGGCGAGACAACUUCAUGAAGACACGAUGAUGGAGAUCAUGAUGAUGGAGAUCAUGGUGUCAUGCUGGUGACGAAGGUGAUCAUGCCGCGCCUCGAAGAUGGAGAUCAAAAGGCGCAAGAUGAUAUUGGCCAUAUCAUGUCACUUUAUGAUUUGCAUGUGAUGUCUGUCAUGUUUACAUCUUAUUUGCUUAGAACGACGGUAGCAUAAAUAAGAUGAUCCCUCACUAAAAUUUCAAGAGAUGUGUUCCCCCUAACUAUGCAUCGUUGCGAAGGUUCGUUGUUUCGAAGCACCACGUGAUGAUCGGGUGUGAUAGAUUCUAACGUUCGCAUACAAUGGGUGUUGACGAGCCUAGCAUGUACAGACAUGGCCUCGGAACACAAGCAAAACACUUAGGUUGACUUGACGAGCCUAGCAUGUACAGACAUGGCCUCGGAACACAAGAGACCGAAAGGUCGAACAUGAGUCGUAUAGUAGAUACGAUCAACAUGGAGAUGUUCACCGAUGAUGACUAGUCCGUCUCACGUGAUGAUCGGACACGGCCUAGUCGAUUCGGAUCAUGUAUCACUUAGAUGACUAGAGGGAUGUCUAUCUAAGUGGGAGUUCAUUAAAUAAUCAGAUGAACUUAAUUAUCAUGAACAUAGUCAAAAGGUCUUAGCAAAUAAUGUCGUAGCUUACGCUUUAGUUCUACUAAGAUAUGUUCCUAGAGAAAAUUUAGUUGAAAGUUGAUAGUAGCAAUUAUGCGGACUGGGCCCGUAAACUGAGGAUUGUCCUCAUUGCUGCACAGAAGUCUUAUGUCCUUAAUGCACCGCUCGGUGUGCUGAACCUCGAGCGUCGUCUGUAGAUGUUGCGAAACAUCUGACAUACACGUUUUGAUGACUACGUGAUAGUUCAGUGUGUGAUGCUAACGGUUUAAAAUUGUGGCACCAAAGACGGUUUUGAAACGUCGCAGAACAUAUGAGAUGUUCCAAGGACUGAAAUUGGGAUUUCAGACUAGUGCCCACGUCAAGAGGUAUGAGACCUCUGACAAGUUUCUUAAGCCUGCAAACUAAGGGAGAAAAGCUCAAUCGUUGAGCAUGUGCUCAGAUUGUCUGAGUACUACAAUCACUUGAAUCGAGUGGGAGUUAAUCUUCCAGAUGAGAUAGUGAUGGUUCUCCAUAGUCACUGCCACCAAGCUAUUAGAGCUUCGUGAUGAACUAUAACAUAUCAGGGAUAGACAUGAUGAUCCUUGAGCAACUCGCGAUGUUUGACACCGCGAAAGUAGAAAUCAAGUAGGAGCAUCAAUUGUUGAUGGUUAGUAAAACCACUAGUUUCUAGAAGGGCAAGGGCAAGAAGGGAUACUUCAUGAAACGGCAAAUCAGUUGCUGCUCUAGUGAAGAAACCCAAGGUUGAACCCAAACCCGAGACUAAGUGCUUCUGAAAUGAGGGGAACGGUCACUGAAGCAGAACUACCCUAGAUACUUCAUAGAUGAGAAGGCUGGCAAGGUCGACAGAAGUAUAUUGGAUAUACAUUAUAUUAAUGUGUACUUUACUAGUACUCCUAGUAGCACCAGGGUAUUAGAUACCGGUUCGGUUGCUAAGUGUUAGUAACUCAAAAUAAAAGAUGUGGAAUAAACGGAGACAAGCUAAAGGUGAGAUGACGAUAUGUGUUGGAAAUGUUUCCAAGGUUGAUGUAAGCAUCGCAUGCUCCAUCUACCAUCGAGAUUGGGGUUAAACCUGAAUAAUUGUUAUUUGGUGUUUGCGUUGAGCAUAGACAUGAUUGGAUCAUGUUUAUAGCAAUACGGUUAUUCAUUAAAGGAGAAUAAUGGUUACUCUGUCUAUUUGAAUAAUACCUUCAGUGGUCUUGCACCUAAAAUGAAUGGUUUAUUGAAUCUCGAUCGUAGUGAUACACAUGUUCAUGCCAAAAGAUAUAAGAUAGUAAUGAUAGUACCACAUACUUGUGGCACUGCCACUUGAGUCAUAUUGGUAUAAAACGCAUGAAGAAGCUCCAUGUUGAUGGAUCUUUGGACUCACUCGUUUUUGAGAAGAUUGAGACAUGCGAACCAUGUCUAUUAGUAUAUAUGCAUGAAGAAAGUCCAUGCAGAUGGAUCAUUUGGACUCACUUGAUUUUGAAUCACUUGAGACAUGCAAAUCAUACCACAUGGGCAAGAUGACUGAAAGGCCUCGUUUUCAGUAAGAUGGAACAAGAGAGCAACUUGUUGGAAGUAAUACAUUUGAUGUGUGCAGUCCAAUGAGUGCUGAGGCACGCAGUGGAUAUCGUUAUGUUCUUACUUCACAGAUGAUUUGAGUAGAUGCUGAGAAUAUUUACUUGAUGAAACACAAGUCUGAAUUAUUGAAAGGUUCAAGUAAUUUCAGAGUGAAGUUGAAGAUCGUCGUGACAAGAGGAUAAAAUGUCUGUGAUAUGAUCAUAGAGAUGAAUAUCUGAGUUACGAGUUUGGCACACAACUAAGAAAUUGUGGAAAUUAUUUCACGACUAAUACCGCCUGGAACACCAUAUUGUGAUGGUGUGUCCGAACAUCAUAACUGCACCCUAUUGGAUAUGGUGCAUACCAUUAUGUCUCUUAUCGAAUUACAACUAUCGUUUAUGGGUUAGGCAUUAGAGACAACCGCAUUCACUUUAAAUAGGGCACCACGCAAUUCCGUUGAGACGGCACCGUAUGAACUAUGGUUUAGAGAAACCUAAGUUGUCGUUUCUUAAAAGUUUGGGGCUGCGACGCUUAUGUGAAAAAGUUUCAGGCUGAUAAGCUCGAACCCAAAGCGGAUAAAUGCAUCUUCAUAGAAUACCCAAAACAGUUGGGUAUACCUCCUAUUUCAGAUCUGAAAGCAAAAGUGAUUGUUUCUAUAAACGGGUCCUUUCUCGAGGAAAAGUUUCUCUCGAAAGAAUUGAGUGGAGGAUGGUGGAGACUUGAUGAGGUCAUUGAACCGUCACUUCAACUAAUGUGUAGCAGGGCACAGGAAGUUGUUCCUGUGGCACCUACACCAAUUGAAGUGGAAGCUUAUGAUAGUGAUCAUGAAACUUCAGAUCAAGUCACUACCAAACCUCAUAGGACGACUAGGAUGCGUACUACUUCAGAGUGGUACGUAAUCCUGUCUUGGAAGACAUGUUGCAAGACAACAAUGAACCUACAAGCUAUGGAGAAGCGAUGGUGGGCCCGGAUUUCGACGAAUGGCUCGAGGCCAUAAAAUCCGAUAGGAUCCAUGUAUGAAAACAAAGUAUAGACUUUGAAAGAACUACUUGAUGGUCGUAAGGCUGUUGGGUACAGAUGGAUUUUAAAGGGAAGACGGACAAUGAUGGUAAGUGUCACCAUUAAGAAAGCUCGACUUGUCGUUAAGAUGUUUUCCGGCAAGUUCAAGGAGUUGACUGCGAUGAGACUUUCUCACUCGUAGCGAUGCUAAGAGUCUAUUAGAAUUAUAUUAGCAGUUACUGCAUUAUUUAUGAAAUCUUGCAGAUAGGAUGUCAAAACAUUGUUUCCUCGACGAUUUUCUUGAGGAAAGGUUGUAUGUGAUACAACCAGAAGGUUUUGUCAAUCCUGAAAGAUGCUAACAAGUAUGCAAAGCUCCAGCAAUCCUUCUAAGGAUUGGAGUAAGCAUCUUGGAGUUGGAAUGAACGCUUUGAUGAGAUGAUCAAAGAUUUUGGGUUUAUACAAAGUUCAUGAGAAACUUGUAUUUCCAAAGAAGUGAGUGGGAGCACUAUAGAAUUUGUGAUGAGUAUAUGUUGUUAACAUAUUGUUGAUCAGAAAUGAUGUAGAAUUUCUGGAAAGCAUCCAGGGUUAUUUGAAAAGUAUUUUUUAAUGGAAAACCUGGAUUAAGCUACUUGAACAUUGAGCAUCAAGAUCUAUAAGGAUAGAUCAAAACGCUUAAUAGUACUUUCAAAUGAAUGCAUACCGUGACAGGAUUUUGAAGGAGUUCAAAAUAGAUCAGCAAAGAAGGAGUUCUUGGCUGUGUUACAAGGUGUGAGUAUUGAGUAAGACUCAAGACCUGACCACGGCAGAAGAGAGAGAAAGGACGAAGGUCGUCCCCUAUGCUUUAGACGUAGGCUCUACAGUAUGCUAUGCUGUGUACCGCACCUGAAGUGUGCCUUGCCAUGAGUUAGUCAAGGGGUACAAUAGUGAUCCGGGAAUGGAUCACAUGACAGCGGUCGAACUUAUCCUUAGUAUCUAGUGGACUAAGGAAUUUUCUUGAUUAUGGAGGUGGUAAAAGAGUUCGUCGUAAAGGGUUACGUCGAUGCAAACUUUGACACUAAUCCGGAUGACUCUGAGUAGUAAACCGGAUUCGUAUAGUAGAGCAGUUAUUUGGAAUAGCUCCAAGUAGCGCGUUGUAGCUACAUCUACAAGAUGACAUAGAGAUUUGUAAAGCACACACGGAUCUAAAUGUUGCAGACCCGUUGACUAAAACCUAUCUCGUAAGAAUAACAUGAUCAAACCCUAGAACUCAUUGAGUGUUAAUCACAUCGUGAUGUGGACUAGAUUAUUGACUCUGGUAAACUUUGAGUGUUAAUCACAUGGUGAUGUGAACUAGAUUAUUGACUCUAGUGCAAGUGGGAGACUGUUGGAAAUAUGCCCUAGAGGCAAUAAUAAAAUGGUUAUUAUUGCAUUUCCUUGUUCAUGAUAAAUGUCUAUUGUUCAUGCUAUAAUUGUAUUAACUGGAAACCGUAAUACAUGUGUGAAUACAUAGACCACAACAUGUCCCUAGUAAGCCUCUAGUUGACUAGCUCGUUGAUCAAUAGAUGGUUAUGGUUUCCUGACCAUGGACAUUGGAUGUCAUUGAUAACGGGAUCACAUCAUUAGGAGAAUGAUGUGAUGGACAAGACCCAAUCGUAAGCAUAGCACAAUAUCGUGUAGUUCGUUUGCUAAGAGCUUUUCUAAUGUCAAGUAUCGUUUCCUUAGACCAUGAGAUUGUGCAACUCCCGGAUACCGUAGGAAUGCUUUGGGUGUACCAAACAUCACAACGUAACUGGGUGGCUAUAAAGGUGCACUACAGGUAUCUCCGAAAGUGUGUUGGGUUGGCACGAAUCGAGAUUGGGAUUUGUCACUCCGUAUGACGGAGAGGUAUCUCUGGGCCCACUCGGUAAUGCAUCAUCAUAAUGAGCUCAAUGUGACCAAGUGGUUGGUCACGGGAUCAUGCAUUACGGUACGAGUAAAGUGACUUGCCGGUAACGAGAUUGAACAAGGCAUUGGGAUACCGACGAUCGAAUCUCGGGCAAGUAACGUACCGAUUGACAAAGGGAAUUGUAUACGGGAUUGAUUGAAUCCUCAACAUCGUGGUUCAUCCGAUGAGAUCAUCGUGGAACAUGUGGGAGCCAACAUGGGUAUCCAGAUCCCGCUGUUGGUUAUUGACCGGAGAGUCGUAUCGGUCAUGUCUGCAUGUCCCACGAACCCGUAGGGUCUACACACUUAAGGUUCGAUGACGCUAGGGUUGUAGAGAUAUUAGUAUGCGGAAAUCUGAAAGUCGUUCGGAGUCCCGGAUGAGAUCCCGGACGUCACGAGGAGUUCUGGAAUGGUCCGGAGGUAAAGAUUUAUAUAUGGGAAGUCCUAUUUUGGCCACCGGAAAAUGUUCGGGAUUUUUUGGUAUUGUACCGGGAAGGUUCUAGAAGGUUCCGAAGUGGGGCCCACCUGCAUGGGGGGACCCACAUGAACGUGGGUAGUGGGGGCAAGGCCCCACACCCCUGGUCAAGGCGCACCAAGAUCCCACCUUAGAAGGAAUAAGAUCAUAUCCCGAAGGGAUAAGAUCAAGAUCCCUAAAAAAGGGGGAUAACAAUCGGUGGGGAAGGGAAAUGAUGGGAUUUCUUUCCCCCACCUUUGCCAACGCCCCAAUGGACUUCGAGGGCAAGAAACCAGCCCCCUCCACCCCUAUAUAUAGUGGGGAGGCGCAUGGGAGCAGCACCCAAAGCCCCUGGCGCCUCCCUCUCCCUCCCGUGACACCUCUCCCUCUCGCUGAGCUUGGCGAAGCCCUGCCGAGAUCCCCGCUGCUUCCACCACCACGCCGUCGUGCUGCUGGAUCUCCAUCAACCUCUCCCUCCCCUUGCUGGAUCAAGAAGGAGGAGACGUCUUCCCAACCGUACGUGUGUUGAAUGCGGAGGUGCCGUCCGUUCGGCGGUCGGUCAUCGGUGAUUUGGAUCACGACGAGUACGACUCCAUCAACCCCGUUCACUUGAACGCUUCCGCUCGCGAUCUACAAGGGUAUGUAGAUGCACUCCUCCCCUCUUGUUGCUAGUAUCUCCUAGAUUGAUCUUGGUGACACGUAGGAAAAUUUUGAAUUUCUGCUACGUUCCCCAGCAGGUACCAUAAACCCAACAUUUACCUUCCUCAAAACAGCCACCAUACCUACCUAUUAUGGCAUUUCCAUAGCCAUUCCGAGAUAUAUUGCCAUGAAACUUUCUACCGUUCCGUUUAUUAUGACACGCUUCAUCAUAGUCAUAUUGCUUUGCAUGAUCAUGUAGUUGACAUCGUAUUUGUGGCAAGGCCACCUUCAUAAUUCUUUCAUACAUGUCACUCCUGAUUCAUUGCACAUCCCGGUACACCGCCGGAGGCAUUCACAGAGUCAUAUUUUGUUCUAAGUAUUGAGUUGUAAGUAAAUAAAAGUGUGAUGAUUUUCAUUAUUAGAGCAUUGUCCCAUGUGAGUGAAGGAUGAUGGAGACUAUGAUUCCCCCACAAGUCGGGAUGAGACUCCGGACGAAAAAAAUAAAAUAAAAGAGGCCAAAGAAGCCCAAAAAAAAGAGGCCAUAAAAAAGGAGAAGGCCCAAAUAAAAAAAUGAGAGAAAAAGAGAGAAGGGGCAAUGUUACUAUCCUUUUGCCACACUUGUGCUUCAAAGUAGCAUCAUGAUCUUCAUGAUAGAGAGUCUCUUAUGUUGUCACUUUCAUAUCUAGUGGGAAUUUUCAUUAUAGAACUUGGCUUGUAUAUCCAAUGAUGGGCUUCCUCAAAUUGCCCUAGGUCUUUGUGAGCAAGCAAGUUGGAUGCACACCCACUUAGUUUCUUUUGUUGAGCUUUCAUAUACUUAUAGCUCUAGUGCAUCCCUUGCAUGGCAAUCCCUACUCACUCACAUUGAUAUCUAUUGAUGGGCAUCUCCAUAACCCAUUGAUACGCCUAGUUGAUGUGAGACUAUCUUCUCCUUUUUGUCUUCUCCACAACCACCACUCUAUUCCACCUAUAGUUCUAUGUCCAUGGCUCGCGCUCAUAUAUUGCGUGGAAGUUGAAAAAGUUUGAAAAUACUAAAGUAUGAAACAAUUGCUUGGCUGAAACCAGGGUUGUGCAUGAUUGGAGCAUUUUAUGUGACGAAGGUGGAGCAUAGCCAAACUAUAUGAUUUUGUAGGGAUGAGCUUUCUUUGGCUAUGUUAUUUUGAGAAGACAUUGCUUGGUUAGUAUGCUUGAAGUAUUAUUAUUUCCAUAUCAAUAUUAAACUUUUGUCUAGAAUCUUUUGGAUCUAAACAUUCAUGCCACAAUAAAGAGAAUUACAUUGAAAAUUAUACUAGGUAGCAUUCCACAUUAAAAAUUCUGUUUUUAUCAUUUACCUACUCGAGGACGAGCAGAAUUAAGCUUGGGGAUGCUUGAUACGUCUUCAACGUAUCUAUAAUGUGUGAUUGUUCCAUGCUAUUAUAUUAUCUGUUUUGGAUGUUUAAUGGGCUUUAAUAUACUCUUUUAUAUUAUUUUUGGGACUAACCUAUUAACCGAAGGCCUAGUGCAAAUUGCUUUUUUUGCCUAUUUCAGUGUUUCGCAGAAAAGGAACAUCAAACGGAACGAAACCUUCGCGAGGAUCUUUCUUGGAACAAACGCAAUCCAGGAGACUUGGAGUGGAAGUCAGAGACGCAACGAGGCGGCCACGAGGCAAGAGGGCGCGCCCAGGGGGUAGGCGCGCCCCCCACCCUCAUGGGCCCCUCGUAGCUCCACCAACCUAAUUCUUUCGCCUAUAUACUCUUAUACCCUGAAAACAUCCAGGAGAGCCACGAAACCACUUUUCCACCACCGCAACCUUCUGUACCCAUGAGAUCCCAUCUUGGGGCCUUUUCCGGCGAUCUACCGGAGGGGGAUUCGAUCACGGAGGGCUUCUACAUCAACACCAUAGCCUCUCCGAUGAUGUGUGAGUAGUUUACCACAGACCUUCGGGUCCAUAGUUAUUAGCUAGAUGGCUUCUUUUCUCGCUAUGGUUCUCAAUACAAAGUUCUCCUUGAUGUUCUUGGAGAUCUAUUCGAUGUAAUACUUUUUGCGGUGUGUUUGCCGAGAUCCGAUGAAUUGUGGGUUUAUGAUCAAGAUUAUCUAUGAACAAUAUUUGAUUCUUCUCUGAAUUCUUAUAUGCAUGAUUUGAUAUCUUUGCAAGUCUCUUCGAAUUACCGGUUUAGUUUGGCCUACUAGAUUGAUCUUUCUUGCAAUGGGAGAAGUGCUUAGCUUUGGGUUCAAUCUUGCGGUGCUCGAUCCCACUGACAGAAAGGGAACCGACACGUAUUGUAUUGUUGCCAUCGAGGAUAAAAAGUUGGGGUUUAUAUCAUAUUGCUUGAGUUUAUCCCUCUACAUCAUGUCAUCUUGCCUAAUGCGUUACUCUAUUCUUAUGAACUUAAUACUCUAGAUGCAUGCUGGAUAGCGGUCGAUGUGUGGAGUAAUAGUAGUAGAUGCAGAAUCGUUUCGGUCUAGUUGACACGGACGUGAUGCCUAUGUUCAUGAUCAUGCCUAGAUAUUCUCAUAACUAUGCGCUUUUCCAUCAAUUGCUCAGCAGUAAUUUGUUCACCCACCAUAAUAUAUGCUAUCAUGAGAGAAGCCACUAGUGAAACCUAUGGCCCCCGGGUCUACUUUACAUCAUAUAAGUUUCCGAUCUAUAAUUCUAGUUUACUAUUUAUUUUGCAAUCUUUAUUUUCCAAUCUAUACAACAAAAAUACCAAAAAUAUUUAUCUUAUUAGCUUUAUCAGAUCUCACUUUUGCAAGUGGCCGUGAAGGGAUUGACAAGCCCUUUAUCGCGUUGGUUUCAAGGUUCUUGAUUGUUUGUGUAGGUAGUAGGCAAUUUGCGUGUAGUGUCCUACUAGAUUGAUACCUUGGUUCUCAAAAAUUGAGGGAAAUACUUACGCUACUUUGCUGCAUCACCCUUUCCUCUUGAAGGGAAAACCAACGCAUGCUCAAGGGGUAGCAGUCCUCCCUCCUGAGCUUUUUAAAAUGCAGGGGGACCCCAAGAUAUUUGAAAUGAAAUUCACCAAAUUGACAGCAAAAAAAUCUGGGCAAAUUCCUUAGACAUUGCAUCAGAAACAUGAAUAGUAUGCAAAUCACUUUUGUGAAAAUUGAUCUUUAAGCCAGAAAGCUUUUCAAAGAAGGUCAAAAUCCACUUCAAGUUUUUGGCAUAUUCCAAGGAAUCUUGGAUAAAGAGAAUGGUAUCAUCUGCAUAUUGUAAGCUAACCACCCCUCCAGGAAUGGCAUGGGGGAGGAGCCCACCAAUUAAACCAUGCUUGACAGCUUUAACUAGCAUCUUAGAAAAGACAUCAGCUGCCAAAUUAAAUAGCAAGGGGGUGUGAGGGUCACCUUGUUUCAGUCCUUUCUUACCAACAAAAUGGGGUCCAUUGGUAUCAUUAAUCCUAACUUGGAAAGUCCCAUGUUUCAGGGUACUCAGAACCCAAGUCACCCAUUUUUUCCCAAAGCCUCCAGAAAGAUGCAUUUCCCCAAGAAAUCCCAACUGACUAUAUCAUAAGCUUUCUCAUAAUCAAGUUUAAGAAUUAACCCACUAGAAUUCGAUCUGUGUAGCUGAUGAAUAACUUCAUGUGCCAUAACUACACUCUCCAAGAUAAAUAUACCCUUAAUAAAUGCAGUUUGAUUAUGAGAAAUGAUUUUGUCACAAAUGGGGGAGACCCUAGUAUUCAUAGCCUUGGAGAAAAUUUUCACAACACAAUUACUAAGGCUGAUAGGCCUAAACUUUUUCAUCUCUCUGGCCUGGGGGAUUUGGGGGAUAAGGGUGAUGAUGGAAUAGUUAUGCUUAUAGAUAUCCAAAUCCCCCUUUUCAAAAUCCCUAACCAUCCACAUAAAAUCAUCUUUAAUCAAGGCCCAGAAGUUUUGGUAGAAAAGGAAAGACAUCCCAUCUGGACCAAGAGCUCCACUAGCAUAGGAGCUCAUGAUUGCUUCCUUUAAGUUAAUCUGCUCUUCUCCAUUGAUCAUCUCUGCCUCAGACCAGAAACCAACACCUAGAUGUAUGUCUGGUUUAGGUUCAUAGGCAAAUAAGUCUUUCUAAAAAGUGGUAGCUACCUCCAGCAUAUCAUCAGUGGAUGUCACAGGCCUAGAAGGGCCCAUCAAUUCAGAAAGAUGGUUCUUCCUAUGUCUGUGAUCGGCUAGGGCUUGGAAAUAAGCAUUGUUACAAUCUCCUUCAAGGAUUUUCCUAUCUCUGGACUUUUGCCAAAAGGCAGUUUCCUCUUUUUUCCAGAUCUCAUCAAGUUCUUUUUUAAAAGCUUUCAUCCUAUCAUACUCAGGCGCAGCCAACUACUGAGACUCAGACAGAACAUCUAGUAAGUCAAACUCCAUAAGGAGUGCCUUUUACUUUUUCUUAAGAUCAGCUUCAAUAUUAAUAGACCACCCUUUUGUCUUCCUCCUAAGUAUUCUAGUCUCGGAUAACCAGUUAUCCAUAGAAGAAGUAGAGGAAGAAACAGAAGACCAAGCCUCAGGAACCAUUUGGUGGAAACCAGGUUGUGACAGCCACCAUUUCUCAAAUCUAAACAUUUUAGGUUUAGAGGUCUUUCUAGCUCCAGUGUCCAAAACCAAAGGAGUGUGGUCGCUCCCAACUCUAGGGAGGGUAGUAAGAGAGGACAUUGGGAAGUGAGUAUCCCAGUCCAUAGAAGUAAAAACUCUAUCCAGCACAGCAAAAAUUGGAUCAUCUUGGUUAUUAGACCAAGUAUAACCCCUAUUAGAGAUAGAAAUCUCUAGCAAACCCCAUCUAUCAAUCCAGUCAUUGAAGAUAAAGGUGGUGUGUUGAUCGACUAUCCCACUGCUCUUCUCACUCUCAUUUCUAACUAAGUUUAAAUCACCACAAAUAAGGAUAGGAUAAGAUGCAUCAUCUAGAAUAUCAUGUUACUCAGCAAUAAAAUCCAUUUUGUACUCAGGGUAUGCAGACCCAUACACUAUCACUAAAUGCCAAACAAAACCAUCUUCUUUACUCUUAACCGUAGCUUUAAUGGAAAAAUUAUGAUUAAUAAAACCAAUUACUUCAAAUAAACUCUUGCUAAGACCCAAAAGGAUCCCUCCAGCAGUGUUAACAACAGGCAAAUAAUGCCAAUCAAAAUUAUUAGCCCUAUCAAUAGCUUUGAGCAAACCCUCAGAAAUAAUCUCUCUCUUAGUCUCUUGAAACCCAAUAAAAUCAGGAUUAGACUGAGCAAUAGUAUCACACAGGCACUAAAUUUUCCCAGGUUGACCAAGACCCCGAAUAUUCCAAAUAAGACCUAUCAUCAAGCAAUUUUAAAUGGGUGUGAUAGACCACAUGGCCUAGCCUUGGUUAGGACAUUGGGGGUUCUCCUCAAGGCAUCAGCAGUGCCCACUGGCUUGAAGGAGCAACCAUCCAAUGUGGUCCCAAUCAAAUCAUCUUGAUCAAAUUCUAGGUUAUCAGGAAGAACAAUUUCAGGAUUAUUAUUGGCAAAAGCCAAGCAUCUUUCUUUUUCUCCAACAAUCAAGUCAUCAAUGACAUAAUGCUUAUCAGUUUCAUCACCACCAAUGCAUAGAUCAAUUUUACUCAUUUGGUCAUAUAAAGUGGUAUGAUCAGUAUUAGAGAAGGAUUUACCUUUAAAAGUUUUAGGAAUCUCUAGGUUUUGCUUCCACUUCUAAGCAACAGAUUUUUCCAUGAUGUUCACAUUGCCAUGUCCCCUAGUAGCAGGUUUCUGCACUAGAACAGGUCCCCAUUUGGUCUUGCCAGGGACAUGUCCCUGCUCUUGAGCUUGAUCAAAAGUCUCCAAAAGUGAUCUCUUCAAAGAGAUGGUUUGAAGGACCUGGACAGCUUUAGGGGGAAGAAUCCCAAGCUCUUCUCCAUAGUUUCCUCCUCAUCAGACUUACAAGUGUCUACAGAUUUAAGGAUGUCCUCACAAUACUCCAUACUUUUAGAUUUUUCAUCAGUUUUUGUUUUUUCCUCAGCACUCUCCACAAGGGCUUUUGUGGGAGUGAAGUUUAUGUGUUUCAUAUGAUAUGCACCUUUUGAGGUGUCCCCCUCAGCAGAUACAUGUGUUUUCAUUUUGUCAGAAAUAUCACAUUCCAUGACAAAGAUUUCAUAAUCAGAGUUGGAGGAGAACACGGUAGACUGGCCCCCCUCUUUUUUCUUAUUCUUAUAUUGUUUUGAGAAAUUUGACUUAUCUAGUUCAUCAAUAGCUUCCUCACCAUCUAGCAGAUCCUUAGAUAGGCCAUCUUUUUUAGCAUUCUCAUAACCAUCUUCUCGUCCAUCAGUAUCACCUUCUCCCUCUUCAUCUACAUCAUCCUCAAUAUCAAUGACAGAAUCAGCACCACCUACUUGUUCAAAGCCUUCCACAGUGAAGCCCAAUAAGAACAACUUCUUUUCAUCUCAAUUAGUCUCUCAAAAGGAAUCUUAGCAGGAUCCCUACAUGCAAUUUUAAUUCUAACAUUCUCAAAGAAAGUCCUAAACAUACCAUUCCAAUCCACAUAUGUAAGCACACCAAAAAGAGAAGCAAUCUGGGCAAAAACAUUCCAGGUGCACCACUUAGGUGGAAUUCCUUCAAUCAGUACCCAAGCUUCAAUCAAUUCCCAAAAAGGGGCACAAACACCUUUCCAUUCAGUCAGAGUAACAGACACGUCUUGGGGUAAACAAAAGGCAGACAGUUCUAUGAGAUCUUCCACUUUCUUCCAUGGAGGAAACCUCACUAGGAAAGUCUUACUUGAUAAGCCUCUAAUUUGCCAAGGCCACUGUCUAGUUUUGCAAAAGGUAGCAGUCACAAGACUCAGCAACGUAUCCUUGUCCACUUCACCCUUAAGUAUGUUCACUACCGCGCAGUUUUGGAAAUUCAGCCAGUUGGAUUCAUUGGCCAUAGGCACAUCCACAUGGUAGAAACCAAGUCCACUUGCUCCACUACCAAAAAACGCAGCAGUUGGUUGAACCCUAGUCUAGGCGGCACAGUUGUUCACAUUGUGAUUCUGUUGGCAGAUAAAGCACGAUUUCGGUUUGAUACAAUUUCCCACAUAAUGCCCUUGACCUCCACAGUUAAAACAAAUCAUGUCCUUGUACCUAGGAUCUGGCACUUGGUCCAUCUCCACCUCCACGGACUGAGAAGAUUGUACCUGGGAUGAAGCAGCAGUAGAGGUUGUCGAUUUGGUAGGCUUUGGUGCAGGCGCCAGGUCUUUAGAGGUCGGGGCAGAUUGCUGCCUACGUCCUCCAUGUGAACUGGCCUUCUGCGUGGCUGCCUUCGAAGGACCGCGCCAGAUCCAGCACCAGCAAUUUGACGGUCCGACAUCGCCAGGCCUCGCUUCACAACUACUGCGAAGGAGAGGGAUCCGGGGCCCAAACCCUCCCUUGAAACCUUGAUGAUUCUCGAAAUUGGAUCAAAGGCGCGGCAAGAGGCAGGGUGGCAAUCAGCGGCCGUGAACGAUCGAGACGCGAGCAAAUCCUUCCGGAUCCAGCAAGUGAACNNNNNNNNNNNNNNNNNNNNNNNNNNNNNNNNNNNNNNNNNNNNNNNNNNNNNNNNNNNNNNNNNNNNNNNNNNNNNNNNNNNNNNNNNNNNNNNNNNNNNNNNNNNNNNNNNNNNNNNNNNNNNNNNNNNNNNNNNNNNNNNNNNNNNNNNNNNNNNNNNNNNNNNNNNNNNNNNNNNNNNNNNNNNNNNNNNNNNNNNNNNNNNNNNNNNNNNNNNNNNNNNNGUGGUGGUGGAGGUUGGCGGCGGCGGGGAGGGGAUGGAAUGAGCCAGAGCUGGCCAAAGUGCUCUUCUAUAGUUUCUAGGUCACCCUUUCCACGCGAACGCGUAAACUGAGAGUUUGUUUUCCUACCAAGGUCACGUACACUGAAACUGGGACCCGUCAGAACUGGGUUGGACAGAGAGGACGAAUUUUGGCUUAUCAUCGUCUCGUCAUCAGGCUAACGCCAAAAUUUGAACUAACAUCAAGCUUUGAGGCCGCAAAUACGGCUUCAGAAUCAAUGGAAUUUCUCAUCACGCAUGGGAAAACCCUAGAGGUCAUUUUUCCAGAUUCGGUCCAAAUGGUUAUCUGGAGCACCAAUCCAAAUAUUUGCCUGAAUCCUACGUGAACGCGGAUCCACCAAUCGGGAACGCAACGAAGAGGUUAGGCGAAUCGAAUGCGUACCUCCCUCACCCGGCCAGGGAGGGGGGUCGACAUCACGUCGUUGAUGCGGGACGGGGCAGGGGCGUCAGGUCCUUCACUAGCGGCGGCGGGGCAGCUGCACCCCCGGCAGGAGGAAUUCCGGCGGAAUGCUGGCAAUCCCCACCGCCGACGGUGGCCUGAUGUUGAGACGCGGCGGGUUCGCCGUCCUGAAGUACGCCCACUUCGCCCCCUGGACUGGAUUUGGGGAUUCGGCCUCCUGAAUUGCCCAGAAGAUGAGUUCCGCGUCCAUGCAACCGUCAUCGCCGAUGAAGCGCGCGCGCUCGGCGAAGUUCGUGUAGCGGAUGAUGUCGAGGUGAAUAUCUCCCCAUUCCUCCCGGUUGGGGAAACACUCCAGCACCACCCGGCGCAUCUCCCAUUGAGCCUCCGGCGAGUCUGCGUCGAUCUGGAGCGGCGGAGCCGCCCCUGGAGGUGGGAGCCCCCGCGGCUCCGCCACUCGGGUUUAUUUUGUGUUAAAUUUUGCAAAAAGAGCCAUUUUUAUCGACUUUCUCUAACUUAGGCCAACUCCACCGCGCGACCCCAUCCUGUCCGCGCGCGUCCGUUUGGGGUAAAACGGACGAACCAGACGGCCUAGCGCGGGGGCGCAAAUGGAAUUUUGUCCGUUUUCUGUCCGCUUUCGACCCAUCCCCGGCCCAAGUUUGCGCCGCCUUUUAGGUGAAACGGACAGCACGCGGACGGGCGGGGCGUCUGCGCGUGUCUUCCCCUGGCCCGCCUGUCGGUGGCACAGGGACGCCUUUUUCUAUCCACCCCCUCCCUCCCUCCUGCCGCACCCCUUCCACUCUUCCCCACUCUUCCCCUCGCCACCGCUGCCGCCGCCGCUGCCAUUGCAGCUGUGCAGCUCGGACGCGCGCUCGCCCAGCCCCUUCCCCUCGGCGCCCUCGAGCUACCCAACCACGGCCACCUGAUUUGCUCACCCGCCGGCCGGAUUUGGGGUGGAUCCGGUCGGUCUUGAGCUCGCCUGGCUGUGGGAGGCCGCGCUGCGCCAUGGACUGGCUGGGCACCGGGCCAGAAGGCCCUGGCAGGGCCACAAGGCCACAUGCAGGCAGUGGCUCCUCCUCUAGCCGCUCGGAUCUACACCAUUGGUGGUCCGCCGGUAGAUACACAAAUGGCGGUCUGCCGGGCUCGGUGCUAGCCCAAAAUCUCAUCGGCGCACCGUUGCCACUCAUUAAGUGCGACCACUGCCCAAAGAAGGUCAUGCGCCGCGUGUCUAUAACGCCGGAACAUCCGGGAUGGGUGUUCAUCAAGUGCUUAAACGAUGGGGUAUGUGCUCUUUUUAGCUUCGGUUGUGCUCUUAGAUUUGACUAGUUGUGCUAACUUAAAAUUUUAUUGUGUAGCAUGGAUGCAAGUUUUGGUAUUGGGAAGAAGAGUACAUCGAUAUAUUGAUAGAGCGCAAUUUAGUAGAUGUUGGUGCACUUUUAGCUAGCAUAGAGGCUAGACAUGAGACUAGUGCAUUUGUUGCUAGAUUAGAGGCUAGACAUGAGACUAGACGCGAGGAAGCAACCUCUACUUCUUUAGACUCGAAGAAGAAAGAAGCACGCAAGAUCGAGCCUCCUCCGCAGAUCAAAAAUGAAUGCAUCGAGAAGGCACUAAUCCAACUUACAGGAGUAGUUAUGGAAGUUGGAUAUCUUCUAAAAUGUAUUCUUGUGGUUCUUGUUUUCUUUCGUCUUACUUUUCUAGUCAAAAUUUGGUGAUGUAUUCCCAUGUACCAAAAAUUAAUGAUGAAAAAAAUUAAGGGCAUGCAAAGAAAAAUGUACGCGGACAGGAUGCGGCCGGGAUGCGUCUGCGCGUUGGGCACACGGCCACCGCAUCCUAAAAACGGUCCGGACACGACCCCAUUGCCCUACCCAAACUGACAGAAUCCGGACAAAACGGACGUCCGUUCGGGGUCACGCGGUGGAGCUGGCCUUGGUCUGGCAGGGUGAAUCCUGGGCCGCCGAGUUCGAAAUACUACUUUGUUUCUUUCCCGAGGCAGAUCCGAUCCACUGAUCCCGAGUAGUACGAACACAAUAUCUGCUGUCGUGGCCUAAAUCAGUGUGCACGUGAUCGUGUUUGGUGGACAUGAGUGGUGGUGUCCAUGUCAAACAAUCCACGCCGCCUAUAAGAAAAUCCGGGAAAACGAGUCCAAGUUUCCAUCCCAGCUGCUACUAAUCAAACAUCUUUAUCCACCCAACUAACCAAAUAAUGGGCAUAGCGAUCGCAGCAUCGCAGCCGAGGCCGCUUGCCAAUCGACGCCUAUAUAUAGACCUGCUCGCAGCUUUAGCCAGCCACACCACUACAACAGCAGAAAGCAUUCUACCACCAGACCGACCGCACAGUUGAAGUGAGAUCUGCGCUAAGGGUUCAUCAGCAACCAUGAAGAGCACCAAGCUCGCGGCGAUCCUGAUCCUCCAGGCCGUCCUGGUCAUGGGGAUCCUCUCACACGUGAACGGUAAGCUGCUGAUGCUCAAUCAUUUCACCUCUUCCUAGACAAAGCUCGAUCAUUCCGUGAUGCCCAGAGGGAGGGGAGGCUUCUCGUCUCGUCUUAUAAGUGAUAUAUUAUCUGAUUCUGAUGCCGUCGGUGCCUUUGCGUGCGUGCAGCCGACUAUUUCCCCAAGUGCUGCAACAACUGCAGGUCCUUCUCGGGGGUCGACGUCUGCGACGACGCCCACCCCCAGUGCCCCAAGGGCUGCUCGGCCUGCCGCGUGGUGACGCCGAGCCCUCACAAGACGUUCCGGUGCGCCGACAUGAAGAGCACCGUCGAUGGCACCUGCGGCGGGCCAUGCAAGAAGCACUGAUCCGUUCAGGGCUUCAGGCUCAGACGAGGUGUGCCGCCUAAAAUAAAGCUCAGAUGAGAUGAGCAGUCAUGGUGCCUAUGCUUGUGUGUGGGUCGUGCUAUACGGCCAACAAUAUGUAUACUGCUAUCGUCGUGUCUUGGUCAAUGUGUUUUCUCUCUCGAGAAAGGCUGGUGGUGCUUGUACUUGUUCACCUAUUCUCCGUCAAUAAACACAUGUGAUGAUUGUACUUGUUCACCUAUCCGCCGUGAAUAAACACAUGUGAUGAUUGUGCUUGUACUCUUGUCUGUUAUGUUUUCACGUCUCAUACGAGCUGAUGGAAUGCUCUUUGAAAUUUACCUUUCUACUUUCGGCACAACAAACAACUGUCCGACGUACUACUCUUUUACCAUCUUUCGGCGGCAAGUCCCAACUUUCAUGGCUGCCUUUUUUUUAACGUGGUGGCUGCCAAGUUGUUUGCAGAGUUUGCUAAAUUGACUACAUGAAAUGUGUCUGCAGUCACGCGUUUGUUAAAUUUGCCUGCCUGUAUAAAAAAGUAUGGCUAAAAAUUGAACUUGCUGUUUGCGAACCACCUGAAGUUGUUAGAACUUUAUUAUUCUCAAAACCUCAAUUAUCUUCUUCCUUUCGCCUUGAUCAUGAACAGUGAAAGGUUUCGUAUUAAUUAGAUCUUAUCUCAAUUCAUUCGAAAGCAUAACCAGGCUUUGGACUAAAGUUGGUUCAGCACUUCAGCAUCACAUAGUACUUGCAAAAAUGUAACAAAAAAACAUACGAACCGGCUGAUUUUUUUUUUUUACAUUUUCUCUAUGUAGUCUGAAAUUUUCAAAAAUCAACCUUUUAGGUUUCAAAAGUUCUGAAAAAUAAGACAGACAUCACUGUGAUGUAUACUUCAUGUUUUUAAAGUUUUCAUACUAUAAGUCUAUAAUUUUGUUAUUUUAUGUGUAGCUCACAUCAAAACUUCGUCAUGAACACUUGACAAACAUGUACUAGUAUGCAUCCCUAUAUGCGAUGAAAACAUGCAACAAGAAAUUAACCCUAAUAACUCAUAUAUGAGUAUUUAACAAAAAUGUGGAGCUAACAGACCCCUCAAACUUAACUCCUCAAAAUCAAAUUGUGGACAAACAACUCAUACAAAACUCAAGCUGAGACUAGAUUAAGACCACAUAAUGAUUAAUUAUACAUAGUACUUCAUAACUAAACAUCAUAACUAAAGUAGAUACCACUUGCUUAGAUUUAAAUCCAGCUACUUUAGAGCCAAAAUGUACUAAUCCUUGUCGGAAUCGAGGUAGAUCACGCAUGGCUUGCCGAAGCGCGAUGCAUCGGCGUCAGGGCUCUCGCCAUGCCACCAGCGCAUCGCCAGGGUCAUAUGAGUCAUCGGCAGCGAGCUCGCUGAGAGUGUGUCCCGCUGUCGAUCCUGGCCAAGACACAAUGAUUCAUGGCCACCUUGCGCUCGUUGGCGAUGAGGAAGUGCUUGAAACAGAGAUCGACCUCCGUCACCUUCGGGUCAGCGUCGAACCUGGUGGUAGCAUUGGCAUGCUCCGCCACGAGCUGAGCAUUAGUCGCCCGACGGUCCUCCUCUUGGAGCAAUGCCUUAUCAUACUCCUGCUCCUCCUCCGGUCGUUGGCACCACCUUGUCCUUGGCUUCCUCGGCCAUCGGCCCAUCCUCGUCCUCUGCCUCAGCCCCUCCUCUUCUUCCUCUACCUCCACCUUCUCCUUCAUGACCGCCGUGAGCUGGACCGCCUUAGGCGCAUUGUCGGAGUCGUCGUCACCAAGAUCGACGAAUCAACGGGGAUGACGUUGAUUUCGGCCACAUGAAUGUGUUGAGCGGCUUGAGACCCAAGAGGAAGGGUAUCUAGAAAGUAAGCAAGUAUUUCACUUAGUUGAGAACCAAGGUUUAUUGACCCAUUGGAGCUCUUGAACAAAAGCUGAUGAUCGACACCUGCACGGAACAACAAAUUUCUUCUUGGUCCCCAACUAUACCAGUUAGAUUCUCAGCCUCACUAGCCUUGCUAGUAACAAGGAUUAACUAGUGUGGUAGAAAAUGAUGAUUGUAUGCAAAUAAACAAAUCAAUUCAGAUUGUAAGGAACAAUAAUAGAGGUUUGUUGCGGUUGUAUUUAUAGCAAUGUCAACAAAUCCAACAUUACAUAUUUAACAUUCCAAUGAGUCCUUCUACCCACUUAAAAAAUACUCUUAAGAUCUCCAUUUGAGGUUGGGAGCUCAUAUAGUACUUCCUUCCUUUUGUGUAGUACUAGAACAAUGCCCGUGGUUGCAACGGGACAUAAAUAUUCUAGUACAAUAGAUUGUGAUUUACCUGUUAAUAAUAAUGCAAUUGUGUAAAUAAAUGUUCAUCAAAUAGUGACCGUGAAUUACCUUAUAUUUCAAUUAGAAGUUUGGUAAGUAAAUUAAAGUGGAAUUGGUUCAGAAGGUAAGUAAAUGAAGGUGAUUUUGAAAUAAGGGGUGGUGGAAAGAAAGGUCAAAUGGGAACCUUACGUUCUUUGUAAGUAGUAGAGUCACCUAAAACAGAGCGACGUCACAAAUAUGUCAUUUUAGGUGCGCUGCACAAACACUCUUACAGAAAAAGUGUUCUGCGUAAAGGUGACAAUAGCAGUGUUAUGUGUUUGUUCCCUAUUCAUAUAAAAUGAACAAGAUAUUGUUUCUGAAUUUAAUAUUGUACCUAUAUUGUACCUAUAUAGGCAUGCAUACGACUAUAACAAACCAUCCUAACAUAGUACUAUAGCGAACUCCUAACACAUAUCACUUAAUUAGAUCAAAACUUUGAGUGCAGGUAGCUAAAACAUAGAUCCUAAAACAAAAGUGCUCUUCUGAACCUGAGCUCACAUGCACCCUCAAGAACAGUAAAAUAAUAAAAAAAAUCGGAUUCAUGGGGCUGCACCUGAGAUUGAAAUCAGAAAUUCCAUGUCCAUCCUGUUUGAACUACGCCAUCCUUUCCCUUAUCCCUAAGGUCAAGGGUGGUGAUAAUAUCCAUUUGUUUUGGCCUGUAGGUCUUAUUAACUAUUUUUCUAAGUUCCAUGUGAACUGUUUUGCCAUUAGGCUCUCUCAAUAGCCCACUGCUCAAUUAGUAGUACCCAAACCACUUUUUUCAAAGGUUGUUAUUUUCCGUGGAUGGGAUCCCUCUCUCUUCAUGAGAUUAUUCACGAGCUUCAGUCUAGGGGAAUAGAAGCUAUUGUCCUCAAAGUAACUUUGAGAAGGUGUAAGAUUGUGUUUGAUGGUCCUUCCUAUGUGAGGUCCUCGUUGCAAAAUGUUUUGAUUCUAGCCAUGUUCAUCACAUUAUGAGUUUGGUUAGUGGGGCGGUAUGGCGAUGUGUGUCAAUGGGGUUGUUGGACUCAAUUUUUAUAAACAAUAGAGACUCUCGCCAAGGUGAUCCUUUCUCCACUUUGUUCUUUAAGUUCGUGGCGGACGAGCAAUCCCUCAUUCUUAAAUGUGCCUCCUCUAUCGGCCACAUCUCCGGGGUGGCUUCAUAGCUUUACCUUAUGGGAUUUUGCACCUACCAUAUGUUGAUAACAUGAUUAUCCUGAUCGAAGAAUAUGACCUUCAAAUCAUAGACCUCAAGUUCAUCUUACUUUGUUUUGAGGCCUUGUCCGGCCUCAAAAUUAAUCUCAACAAGAGUGAGAUUAUGACCCUGGGUUGAUCCCCUUUGGAAUAAGUUUGUAUUGCAAAGUUUCUUAAUUGCAAACUUGGAUCCUUCCCUAUUAACUACCUCGGAUUCCUACAUUCAAGAUCUAUGCCUCCUAUUUUAUCCCUAUUUAGCAAAAUGCUGGAUCUAGGGUCGCCCUUGAAGAGGCAAAUACAAAUCCUCGCCAGUAAAGUCGUGCUUAUUAACGUGUGUGUAUCUAGUUUACAUAUGUACAUUCUGGGCUUCUAUCGUCUCUUGGAAAGUAAUCACUCCAUUUUUGACAAACAUCAUAGUGGUUUUGUUGGAGUGUGGUGGGUAACCAUAAGAAAUAUAGAUUUGUUAAGUGGAAGCUCAUGUGUCAACACAAAAACCUUGGGGGUUGGGAAUUAUUAACACCUCUGUCAUGAACAAAUGCUCAUUAUGAAAUGGUGGUGGAAAUUUGCGAUGCUGAGAAAAAAACUCUUUGGGGACAUUCUCAAAGCUAAGUACUUCCCUAACUGUAAUCCCUUGAUAGCCAAUCCUCGAGGUGGCUCCCGUUUGGAAGUUGAUUCUCAAAGUUUGAAAUGAAUCUAAGAGCCAUGUUAAGUUGUGGUUAGUGAUUGUGUCUCGACUAGGUUUUGGAUGGACAUGGUAGGGGGCCCUCUACCUCUCUUUCCCUACCAUAUUUCUGUAUUGCCCUAAUCCCGAGAUCUCUAUUAUGGUGCUCCCUAUCAAUAAUUUGGACUUUUGGGUUCGUUGGUCCUUGUCCCCUACACAGCUUACAAAGUGGCAGGCCCUCACUACACAUAUCAUGAUGCUCUUGUCGACUUAAGGAUCGAAUUUCUUAGACAUAUUCUGCUUCCGGGAAGUUUGCUGGGAAAUUGCUCUACCCAAGGGUUAUUCAGGGUGUCACAAUACAAGUUUCAGGGAGUGUGGAGGGCUCGCAUUCCCUUAAGAUCAAGAUAUUCCUUUGGUAAGCUAUUAGUUAGUUCCUUCCAGCUAGUAACCAGAUUCUCAAGUGUAACGGUAUGACAGAUGCAAAUUGUUCUCUUUGUGGAGAAAAAAGAAUGUGGACAUAUCGUCUUCAGAUGUGUUCUUGAAGAAAACAAUUGUGUUCAUGGUUCAAUGCAACUUCGUACCCUAAUAAUUUCUCGGAGCUUUUCGCUAUUACCGGGAACCUUUCUUGUCUCUUGGCCCGUGUCUUUUGAUUUGCUUGUGGCUCAAUCUUGGACUUUGUGGACUACUCGCAAUAAAUUUAUGAUCGAUCACUUAUUCCCUAAUCAUCAAGUUGAUCACCUGUUAAAACACAUGCUUUUUAGCUGUUAUGGAAGCCAAUGGCUAAGGGUGGUGAUGUUGCUGCUAUUGAAGAUUUCAUUAUCAAGAUUCGUGCAUCUGCUCGCACCCUACUUCCGGGCGCGCCGCCUCGAAUUAGCCUAGUCGUUUCUACGUUCAUGCCCCUGGGCUGACAUGCACACAUUUAUUUUGGUUAUGUAGCAUUUCAAUAUUGAUGUAUCGUGAUGAUGGUAGAACCUGUUACUUAUCCUCCUUGUUGUAUGGUGAUAGUUUGUCAUAUUAGCUUUAUUUAUAAAGUCGGGCAUAAUGUCUUUUCUCUAAUGCUAUUUAUCAACAGGGUGCAAAAUAAGUUAUCUUGCACCUGAGCUAUUCUCACGAUCGUUUUAUUAAAAUAACGUUUGUUAUACAAAUAGUUGCGUCUCUAUUGAUUUACUACGCAAAAUUUGGCACAAGAAAAUCAAAAUAUAAGUCAUAAGACCACGCUGUUACAUUUUUAUGUAUAUUGUUACUAUGUUUCAACAUUCGCAAUUUUACGUAGCAUAAAAUAUGUUUUACAGCUGAUGUGUAUUUUCUUACGCUCUUGUUUGACUUCCGACGUAAGAUAAAAUUUUCGGUACGUGAAAAUAUGGUGCAGUGAUAUUAAAAUAGAGGGGGCAAAGAAUACACUCUGGGUGGUGAACAAGCAUUAUGUGCCCUCGGCAAAAAAAACUAUCAUUACAGCUCAAUGCGACACAAAUAUAUACUCAACUAUUUUUUCCCGCCCAGGGGCACAUAAUGACGUGUACUCCCUCCGUUCCCAAAUGUAAGUCUUUUUAGAGAUUCUAAUAUAGACUACAUUCAGAGCAAAAUGAGUGAAUUACACUCUAAAUAUGCCUAUAUUCACCCAUAUGUAGUUCAUAUUCAAAUAUCUAAAAGACUUAUAUUUAGGAACGGAGGGAGUAUUAUUUUUCAAUUCCUCUGUUAGAUCAUCUUACAUUAUAGUCCUGUCCUUGUCUCCUUGUGUUGCCAUAUUUUGUUUCAUAAUUUUUGGCAACUUCGACACCGUCGGAACCACAUACUGGUUCGUAGUAGUAACUAUUGGUAGAAAGAAUCGUCCUCCUAGAAAUUACUUUGCUAGGUACACUGAGGUGAUCGGACGUGCGCACGCAACAUGAAGAAUCAAACGACCCACCGCUUCGGCGCGAAUAGAAAUUUUUCUUUUCAUACAUAACCGAAUAAUCCUGAGAAAGUAGGUGCGCAUAUGCGCUGGACAUGGAAGAUGGAGAUGUAUGCCUAACAAGUCCAAGCCGCCUUUAAAGAAAAAUGAAAUACGUCCAAGCUAGCCAGCAUAUAAAAAAAAAGUCCAAGCUAGCCAGGAGUCAAACAAGUUUAUCCCAAGCACCUACCCACCACGAUCACAAUGUAUAGCUGACGCAGCAAAUUGGCAUGUUUCAAGAACGGGCACCUAUAUAUAGAGUUGCUUGUAGCUCUGGGUACACAAAACUACAGCAUAAACCAUCAUUAGACAGGACAAGCCAAUUGCUUUGCUCGACAAGUGUAGAAGCAACGAUGAAGAGUAGCACGCUCGUGGCGAUCCUGAUUCUCCAGGCCGUCCUGGUCAUGGGAAUCCUCUCACAGGCGAACGGUACGUGCUGAUUGCCUUUUUGUAUGGCGUGCAGAGUUUAGCUUAAAAGGGAUAUCAAAUUAGUUAAUCACCUUACAAGACCAUCCCUUUUGACAUGCAUUUGUUACCAAAUGAACUAAUUUGUUUGAUUGCACCCCCGCAAAAAAAAACUAUUUUGAUUGCAUGUGUCCGUGCAGCCGA